UUUUUUUCUUUUUUUUGUUUUUUGUUUAAUGUCUGUUUCCAUUCAUGCCCCCUUUGAAGUUACGGUGCCUUUAAUAAAAAAUUACUUUUGAAUAUUAAAAAUAUUUUUAAGGUAUUUGAUGAAUAUCAUUCGAUAAAAUUACGAGUAGAACUUUUACUAUUAAAAAUAUUUUUUGCAAAAACUCAAAUUUGAUACUUUUAAAGUGACUUUUGUAAUUUAAAAAAUAAAACAUUAAUUUUAAUCAUUUUAUCAUAUACUAGCCACUAAAUUAAAAAAUAAAUAUAUUUAAAAAUUUUUAAAUUAUAUAUUAUCCAAUACAAUAAAUAUUUAUUGAAUUAUAUUUCUAAAUAAUAUACUUAAAAUUAUUUAAAUACAUAAUAAGUAUUUUUAUUAAAAUUUUUAUUUAAAAAGUAUGUUUUAAUAAGUUACUACAAUCCAAAUGGGCCUUAGUAUUUAUGAGUUUAUCUAAUUUUUGACCUGAAUGAACUAAAAUCAGGCUUUUGCAAUUUUGGUACACGUGCUGUGUUAGUUCUGAAAACAGUACUCAGUCCAGCUUUUCCCAAAACUGCCAAUUUCACCACAUACGACAUUGCUCAUUUACCUUUUUGUGGGUGUUGUAUUUUUUUUAUAGAAAUAAAAUAAUUUUAUCAAUGAGAUUGUUGGUUUUUCUCUGGUACCAUUUGCUUGACAAAGUUUCAAGAAAAUUUCCGACUAGAUUGAAAGUUUUCACAAAUUAAGCUAAACUAUGUGCAAUCUCUCUCUAAAAGUCCAAUUUACUUGACAAUAUGUUGGUCUGAUAAAAUAAGACUAACAAUAAAUGCAUGCGCCGCAAACGUAUUAGUAUUCAACCAUUGGGAGAUCUAGGGGAUGAAUGCAUAGUUUUUGGAGAAUUUGUGAAUGAAAUAUGGAUUACUUAAAUAAAAAUAAUUUAUAAAUGAAUUCUAAAUGAUCAAAGCAUUCUCAUAAUAAUGUGAACUUUUGUUAAAUAAAAAAUGCACUUCAAAACAUAAAAACGUAUAUUUAAGUAAGUGUAGCUACAUAUGUACACAUUUAAUUUGAUAUACAGUGCACUUAUGUAUGCUUAAACAUGUACACGCGAGUACUAAUUCUUCAUAAUGGAUAAUUUUACUUACAACACAAAUUUCUUUUACAAAUUUAUGAUCAGUAACUUAUGUCUCAUUUAUGAUUUUUUCAAAAUUUAUACCAUGGAUUGUAAUUCUUGAAUUUUUCAUUUUCCCUUUUACAAACACAUUUUCAAAUACGAGAAUCAUCUUAUGUUUGAGCUUCGUUUUAUUUUACAAAGGAUUUUUUUUUUUAAGUUUGAAGCAUAGCUCAAAUUUACAAAAAAAAAAAAGAAAAAAAGAAGAAGAGCGAAAAGCUAUGUCAAGUUGAACUGUGUGUUGACUCGUCUGAGUGAGAGUUGAUGAAAAUUUCUACAAAUCACAAAGUAAUCAUCGUAUAAAUGAUAAAUGGUGAAUGGAGUUAUUCAAACUUUUACUUUUUUUUCAAAUUAGUAUAAGUGAUGCAUAAAGUAUCAUGAUAAAACUAGAAAAAUGUAAGAGAGUCAUGAGUAGUAUGAAAUAAUGGAGUGUAAGUGGAAGGUUACAGGUUUGAAACAUCUACUUACACUAAAAAAAAUAUUAAACAAAUAAAAAUUUUUUUUUAAAAAAACUAGGCAAAUGUUAUUUACACAAGAAUGCAAAUAACAUUUUCUCUAAAAAUAAAGAAACAUUUUUGUUAUUAAUAGAUAAUAAAUGCAUAGAAAACUUAACGAUUCUAAAUUUGCAAAUUUGGACUUGAAAAAAAUCUAGAUUGGAGUUUCAAGUAUACCCAAAUUAAUUUAGGGAUAAAUUGAGGUUUAUAAAAUUUAGGGAUAAAAUUUGACAAUUUCACUGAUCUUCCCUAAGGUUUAUAAAAUUACACUUACCUCCCUUGGUAAAAUUGUGAGCCUAAUUACUUACAUAAAAAAUUACUCAUAUACCCUAAGACAUUAUGUCUUAUGGAAACUAAUAUCUAACGAUUGAAUAAUUAGAGCAUCGAUCAACUAUUAAUAAGUGUUGAGAAUUUCUUUAAUAGUGAACAGUGACUUGCAAUUAUAAAAUAAGGCCAAUUGAUUUACUAAAUGGCGCUAUUUUGUGAUUGAUAUAACUUGAAAAUUAUUAGAAACCAAUUGUACAUAGUGUGAUAAGAAGGGUUUUGGGUAAAAAAAAAAAACAUAGGAGAAAAGAAGAUUGUUCAUGAGAAAAAGAAGACUGUUCAUGAGAAAUUUUUUUUUAAAACUCUUAAAACUGUAAUAGUUGUAAAGUAAUUUUGUUGAAGUAAAUGAGAAAAAAGAGAAAAUAUAAUUUAUUUUUUUUUUUCCAAAAUCACAAAAAUCAAAGUAAUGUUAAAAGCGAUGACUGGUCCAUUUUACCGAAUCAUGUGAUUGUUAGUAUAGUUUUAUUGCUUAUUUGUGUUGUCUAAUGUAUUGAAUGUGAAUCUUUUAAUUAGUGAAAUGCAUGCGUUGAUUGUUUAUAAUUUUUAAUAAUUUUUAUUUUUUUACUAAUACAACUUAUAUAUAUGUAUAAGGGGUAAUUAUGGGAUAAAAGUUUAAUUUCUCUCUUUAAAAUACUAUUUUUAACGUUCCUUUUUUUAAUUUGGACUAAUUUUGUUACUAAAAUGUUAACCUUAGAGGAGGUUUGUGUAAUUGUACAAACCUCAAGGGUGUCUAGUGAAAUUUUCAGGGGAGGUUUCUGAAAUUAUCCGUUUUAAUUUAGUAAUCAUUUCCGUAGUUGUGUCUUCAUCCGUUUCGAACAGUGGCUCGAAGGCGAACCAACUAUCCUGGCGAACCGUUUGGUUAUUUCGACCCCAUUUGGGCCGGAGGUUGAAGGAGACGUUCCAAUCCAGUCAGCCCUGCUAACUUGGUGACAUCAACUUCUCUCUCUAUCUUUCAAAUGUUCAAUAUAUUUUAGGGUUUCAAUUUCAUACAUUCUCGAUGGAUGUUGACAUCGACGUCGACAUAGCCCGGUGGAUUCUCGAAUUCCUCGUACGGCAACCCCUAGACGACCGCAUUGUUAGCUCCCUGAUUAGCAUUCUUCCUCCCACAAACGAAAAUUCAGGUCUCAAAAAGUCCCUCCUUUUACGACGAAUCGAAUCCGAAAUAUCUGCCGGUUCGGUCUCCGAGAAGAUCCUUGAUAUCCUCGAGCAAAUUGAGGAAUUAGACUUCCAGGACAAGAUUAAGCAACAUUCUGACCUAAUCAAGGCCGCCUAUUGCUCGGUGGCUGUGGCUUGUACUGCAAAGUUUCUGAAUGAUAAGGACGUUGAUAGUAAAUUUAGGUAUUUCGAUGCGGUCAGGAGGAUUUGGAGAGGGAGAGUGUGUAAAAUGGAGAACGCGGAGAAGGUGGGUUUGAUUUCGGAGGAACUGAAGAGUUGGAAAGAUGAGCUCGAGGCUGCCGUGUGGGAUGAGAGUAUUUGGGAUAGUGUGUUGCAGAAGAGUAAAGGCCUUGAUGCGGUUGGGGCGGUUAGGCUUUAUGUUCGAGAGGAAAAAGAUGAUAUCGGGCCUUCUUUUCUGGAAUUAGUAGCUGAGGCAUUGAGGGCUGAUGAUAAAUUAAAGGGGAUUCUCGGAUUCAAAGGGACCCAUGGCGGGGCAAUUCAAAGUUCGGGUCCUAGAGAUGCUAAUAGAGGUGAGUUUCGUUGCAUCUGGUUCAUAUGUUUAGCUGGGAUUAGCAAAAAGUUCAGAAGAUGAUGAUUUUUAUGAAUGCUGUAGCUUUAUUUGUCAUUGAAUAUGCAUGAUUUAUUUUUUCCCUUCGGUUCGGACUGUAUUGAUUUUAUUAGCAUGUUUAGGUGGUUGUUUCUCAAUUCAUGUAGAAGUGCAGAGAGCAAAUGUUGUUUCCGGGCGGAAGCAUGUUGCUUCUAAACGAAUCCGAGGUGCUCCAUCUGGGAUGUCUAGAGGUGCUAAGAUCAUAGAUGGUGACACUUCUGGAGCUGACAUUUCUGGCAAAACGUUUGAUCUGCCAUCUACUCCUGAAGUGCAUGAAGUGCAGGAAGCUCUUAAGUCAAGUUCGUUGGACCUAAAAGCUGUGGUAAAGGAUCCCCUUCCUGAUGCUUUAAACAUUGCUGAUACCGUGGUUUCUAGCAUUGAAAGAAAAGAUGCAGGUAAGCAGCCUGUGGAAGAAAAUCAUGUUGGAGCAAACCCUUCCAUUGCUGAGAGCUCUGGAGCUGUUCAAGCUAAUGAAGGGACUCUGGGUAAUCAUUGCUCUGAGCAUCAGAAAGAUGCACCAAGACAGAGUUUAAUGGCACGAAGCAGCACUGCUCGUACUUUUGAGGUAAUGUGUUAUUUACAAUUCUGAAUUACUGUUGGAUCUCCUAUAUCUAGCGAAGUAGAUGGCUAUCAAGUUUUUGCCUUCUGAAAAAGGAUACACUCCAAAAUUUCGUUAUCUAGUGGUUUAGAUUUUUUUGGGUUCUGGUCUGAUAUAUUUUAGGUUCCAAGUUGUAUCUUUCUGGCUAUACAUUUUGACUUUGUUUCGAGGUUUGUGCAAUUUUGUCAUAGUUAUGACGUAUGAGCUUGGUUCUUACUCUUCUAAAGUAAUUAGGGGUUUAAUAACUUCAUGAGACAUAAUCUAAAGGGAUGAAAGAUUGGCAUUCUGCAUUCAUUACAUGCCUAUCAAUUUUAUAAUGAUCAUUAUAAAACUUAGUUAUUUGGGAUGCCACUGAACUUGGCAUCUUCUUUAUGUACUGAUAAAACUUAAAAUUCCCUUAUACGAGAAGUACUACUUGCCUGCAUGAUCUGUGAUUAUGCUUCUGGUUAGAAACACCUUACCAUUGUUGCUAUUUGAUUCAUUGAUAUGAUUGCAGUGGCUGGCUAUAUGAUUCACUCGGUAUAGAAUUCUCUGUUGUCCUAGUUCCGUGAAUUUUUAUUACUAUUUUAUUUGAUUUAGUGUGAGACCAAGAUCUAUUUCAUACUUUACGGGAUGGAUGGAGUCUGCUAAUUCUCCUAUUCCUAUACUAAGGGCUGCACUUGUAUGUUCAAUAACAAUGGAGCUCGGGAAUGUUGCCUUUGGAGAAAAAUAUGGGCAUUGCAAUCUUUUCUAAUGGUAGUUGUGGGAAGCAAUGAAAGGCUCUGUUUGAGACGAUUAAAGAUUGGCUUGGGUUCCUUGAACACUGUAAUAGACUGAUAGUUAAUCAAGGAUUGUAAUAGUUGUUUUCUUCUCUCCCAUGUUAGUUCUUGUCCGUCUACUUUUGCCAAUCCAAAUGUUUUCUUCCUUUACUUGUUUUAUCUCAAUCACCUAGUUUGACUGAUAGAAUCAGUGAGAUUAGAUAUGUAUGGGCUUAACAUGUUCUUGUUCACAUCUGUAAUGCAUAGAUUCAUCAUUUAUGAGCUAUGGCGUCGUUUGUUCUUUCUCAAUGGAUUGAACUAGGAGCGUAUAUGAUAACAUGAGCAUAGUUUCUGAUCAGUCAGCUAUUGGAUUUAGUAAGAUACCUGGUUGACUUAAUCACUGCUUUUCACUUAUACUGUUCUCCAAGACUCCAACUAGGAAAUUUGACAGGUUUCUUUUUUUUUUGAGAGUUAUGUAACUUACCUUGAUUAUGCUGCAUAUUCCAAAAACUUGUUUUUUCCUUUCCCUAUUUUUCUGCUAAAUGUUGUUGAUCUUGGAUGUACACAAUAUUGGUUCCAGGUAUGGAACUUUCCUUUGGAUGUGGAAUUUUAUUCUUGUUAAAAAGUCUAAAUUGUUUUUCAGUGGGACGAUUCAGUUGAUGCAUUGGCUGGAGAUUCACCAAAUCCUGGAAAUGGAGUUCAGUUACCUAGCCCAAAGAGAAGGGUAGUUUCUCCUUUGAAGAAAUAUGAAAUCAAUAAUAUGAAGAAAAGGAGAAAAUUUAAGAGAUGGAGUACAUCAGAAGAAGAGACGUUGAGGAUUGGUGUAGAGAAGUAUGUAAAUUAUUGCAUUCAGACAAAGCAUUACAGUUGAUUUCCAUUGUCUUACAUGGCUUACCAUUUUGCUGUGAACAUGAUUUGUUAUUUGGGUACUCAGUGGCGGCGCUUUUCUUCCAAUCUUGUUCAAUCACAUCCUACUUGCGCUAGAGUGAUAUAGGACACAUGGUUAUGUCAGACUUGCUCAAGUUCUAAAACAAUAUAUUUGUACUGACCUUGUUGCAGGUAUGGAAGAGGAAACUGGAAAGUUAUUUUGAAUGCAUAUCGUGAUGUAUUUGACGAGAGAACCGAGGUAAAUGUUCUGCAAAAUUAAUCUUCUUGGCACUUGGCUUUUAAUGUAUAUUAAUUACCACUGAUUAUUGUCUCUAGGUUGAUUUGAAGGACAAGUGGCGAAACCUAACACGCUAAUGCUAGCUUUUGAAGGAACUGAUUUGCUGUUUGUUUUAGCCACAGAUAUGUGCUUUGUAUAGCUUUUGUCUUUUCAUAUCCCUGUUUUCUCCAUCUGCUGUUUUGAGACAUGGCAAACCAGUUCACUGGCUUCUAGCUCAGCGUAGUACUAUUUUGGAGGAGCAAUGGAUUUUUGUAUGCUUUUGUCUCGUAAUCAAGUGGAUAGUCUUGUAGUCAGGAUUAGGAUAGCAUAAUGAUGUAACCAACAAUAUUAAAAUGAACAUCUAAGUAAUGUCUAUAAGGUUUUUCACCUCUAUCUUUUUUCCUUGAUUUUUGUGUGAUUGUUUGUUAUUUAAGCGCCUUUAGCCUUUUCUGCUACUCUUGCCUCAAACCACAUGUUUCUUAUUGCUCGUCUACACAACUGGGCGCUGAUAUCUUCUCUUUAAACGCAUGCUUCUGACCGAUGAGGGAUUAUUAACUUCCUACUUGCCUGCCUGUCCAACUCUCUGUCUAAUAGGAAAUGGUGUCGCCCUUAGUUCUUUAGUUCAAAAUUACGAUGUGGCAUUUUUACUUGCGCCUGAAUUUUUGCUUGGGAUUAAUUUACUCUGUGCUACUCUAACCACGUAUCUUCCUCUGUCCGAUCUCAUUAUUCGCCACUAUAUCGCUGCUACUUUCUAUCUCCAUCGUAUCACAACCCCUUCUUCCCACUUUUCAGCAUUUUCAGUUUCACCCACGACACAAGGCUUCAAACACCCAGCGCCCUCAUCCCCGGAAUCCUCUGUCCAUUAUAUCUGUCUAUUUUUCCUGUCCACUUCCAUUAUAUCUAUCCAUUUUUUCUGUCUAACACAAAACUACGUAGUUCCACUAAAAAAUGGAUAGAUAUAAUGGACAGAGGAUCCCGUCUGUUCAUCCCCUGCUCGUUAGACAGAUAUUGAGAAAUUCCCUUUUUUCACUUUCGAAGUGGAACUACGUAAUUUUACAGAGUUUUUUUGUCAAAAUAACACUCUUUUUAAAAAAUAUUCCCAAUGUGAUUCACUUUCAAAUUGUAUUCCCAAAUCGAUGUUAUUGUUGCCACCUAAUACUCCUGGUUGCCAUGUAGGAUAACAAGAAAGGAAAGCUUUAAUCUAGUUUAUAGUUUCCAAUAAAAACUAAAAAUUUAAACUGUUUUAUUAUAGAGGCACAAGAAAAUUACAUAACUUUGAUAAUUUCGUUAUAAUUAUUUAAAAUAAAUUUUACCAUUAUUGACCUUGCUAUUAUUGCUCUCUGCAAUUUUUUAAAAUGUAUCAAGCUUAUUGCAUAUAUUUUUUCAAAAAUAAAUUUGUAAAAUACAAAAAUUGCAAUGAGCAUUAUAAGCAAUAACAAGAAAAAGUUACAAAAACUUCAAGACUAUCAUAUUUGUUUAUGUUAUGCUUCCUACUCCUUGAAAAGAACUUUUACAAAAAGUAAUCAAACUAUUGCAAUUAAGAUAAUACUAAAGUUUCUCAAAAGUAACACAAGCCAUUAAUUGAUGUUGAAUAAAUGUGCAAAAAUACUUCAAGCAUACGAGAUUAUUUGAUUAUGUGAUAGAGAGGCACUACAAAUGAACAUGCUUAUAUUGAGUAUGAAUUUAUGUUGUUACGUAGUUUUCCUCUUAGACAUUUUAUCAAACACACGGUGUGAGAAAUCAUUUGUUAAAACAAUUAGUAUUCAAAAUUUUUUGAAGGCCAUAGGAAUGUUCCAAAAACUGCACAAUAGAAAAGAUAAGAGAAUAAUCUUCAUUUACUUUGAAAUUAUCAAUUCGAGGAGAAUAUUUUCAUCUACAAAUACAAUAUCAGGAAUGAUAAUGAAGUUUUAGAUGUUGUUAAUAUAAAUAUUGGCUUUUAACAAUUACUUUUGACAAAGAAAAAUAACGAAAGGACACAAAAUAAUAAAGGAAAAAAAAGUGGGAAGAUUCAGAAAGAGAAUCAGGGAAGAUAUUAGUUGGGAAAGAGAGAUAGAAUAUGCCUCUAUCUUUAUCCUACCACAUAUGCAACCUAUAUGGAAAAAAAAAGAAUUAUAAAGGUAAUAAAUUUUAAAAUUAGGUUACUUUGGAUAUAUGUUUCAAAAGAAGAGUUAUUUUGGCAAUAAACUCUAAUUUUACAUUAGACAAGAAAAAUAAACAGAUAUAAUGGACAGAGGAUUCCGUCUGCUUAUCCCCUGCUCACUAGUCAGAUAUUGAGAAAUUUCCUUUUCCACUUUCAAUUUCAUCCAUGACACAAGGCUUCACACACCUACCUCUCUCAUCCCCUUCUUAUUGGAUAGAUGUUGAGAAAUUAGGCCCUGUAAUUUUUCCUUUAUCGUCUUCUCCUACAAAAGCCUACUCAUUUUAAUUACUAUUGUUCUGAUGAAAAAAUUGCUAUCAAAGGAGAGAUGAAGAAAGCCUAUUUUAAGUACUAUUGCAGUGCCCCCACGUGAAUGGGCUGGUGGUUGGCGCCUCUUCCUCGGGACCGUUAGGUCCUGAGGUCGAACCUCCGCAGCAACAUCAGUUCGCCGUGCAUCUAACGUGCUAGGUCUGGUUGGGGCGCUAGACCGGACCGGAGUGGGGAUUAGUCGGGCCGCCUUUACGGACUUGACCCGGACACCCCACUCCGUCGACAAAAAAAAAAAAAAAAAAGUACUAUUGCAGUAAAAAGGUGUUAGGCCUUUAAAAAUGUGGGUGAUCUUCCGUACUCUCUGUUCUGACAAGCCGAUACUGGCUUUUGGCUCAAGAUUGAUUCCUUUCGGAAAUCAAGUGAUUACUGGAGGCCGUGGAUGGGAAAUCGUUAAAAAAAAAAAAUAGUCGUCUUACGCAAAUACAUGAAGAGUGAAUUAAGUUUGCAUGUCAACGGUGAGAGAGUUAUCUGAAACUGUUUAGCAGCCCUUGUUUAAAGUUUAAACAAGACCAGUUACAGAGCCACUCGUUGCGAGGUUUCAACCUCUCAGGUAGCCUAAUCGUCGUCCUAUUAUUCCACUAAGCAUGGAUCUCCUAGCGUUGCUAUGGCCAAAAAAGAAAAAAGAAAAAGAAGCUCCACUACCGUCCUGAACACAGAACGGGCAACGACCUUAAAGCCCACAAAGCUAGCUAUCACUGUGCUCAAAGGAUGAGCAGGGCUUGACCUUUUGCUGAUAAUGUCAGCAUCAUCAAAUCUAACACUAACGGGCGAGCACUUCUUGCAUGGCUCAAAAGGUGAUUGUGUGGAUGAGAGAUUUGUACAGUUGCUGUAGUUCACCAGGGGGGCAUCUCUCUGUAAAUGCUAGAAGAGAGGCUGUGGACUUGCCACGUGCAAAUAGGGAGCUAACGUGCUGGGCUGGCAAUUGUGAAGCAGCGGCUUUUGGUGGGUUGACAUUGAAGUAGGAAACUGCAGAGACUCGGAUUGGCAGACGUGGCAGGAGUCGUCCAAUUCCCCUGUGACGGAUUUCAGCCAUUGGAUUUCCAGCUUGAGUGCUGCAUUUUGAGCUGGAAACAACAAAUACAGAAGUGUCUUUAGGAUCGAUAUCACGCAUUACUGUAGCAAAGAGAAGCCCUCAAACCGAAAAUCACUUGACUAGUCAUCGUCCCAGUGAAGCAUAAACACAAAAACUAGAUAUAAUCCAAAUUGCUGGGCAUGAAAUUGGAGAAAUACUCGCGGAGGUUCUUGAGCACGAAAUUAAACCAUGAUCAUUUUCUGAUGGGAGACAGAAAAAGAAGAAAAGACACCGAGGGCAGUAGUUAAAUAGGCAGAGGUGCAUACCAUCGAUUUGCUCGGUUUGACUCUCCAGGGUCUGCAGCUGACAUCUUAAUUCUGACUUUUCAGCUACAAGCUCCGUUGUCUCCCUCUGAGAGAGUUGAGAUUUUCACAAGUCAAAUGGUUGCACAAAACAAAAGGAGAUGCCACUUAAUUAGUACAUUACAUUUCAGCAUGUGGAGAAAGUGAGCGUCGUUUAGGUUGAUUGCGUGACAUGCUCUGCAAAAACAUAUGAGGUGAAUCGAAACAAAGCACAUACCUGGGUUGUGGUGAGUCGAUUAUUGAGCAAAGCCACCUGCGAAUUAAGCGUCUUCAGCUUUUCCUCGAGAUUUACUAUGUAUUGAGCCUUCCUCUCUUUCGACCGGGCUGCCGAAUGUCGAUUUGCCACAAUCCUGGAGUCAACCACUACGUUUUAUUAAUAACAGCUCAGGUCACUUGCUCUAUUUGUGGGCAUAGAUCAAAACUUAUGAUGGUAUAGUCAAGACAAAAGGCGAGCUUGGUAAUUUUAUCUUUUUAUCAUGUUCACAGGUUGCUGAUUGGAACCUAAUUCACCUCCCAUUACCCUGUAAAAGGAAUAGCAAAUUUCUGACUUACGAUCAAUUGACACGCAACAAAAAGGCUUCAUUCCCUGCUAGAUAAACCCUCCAAAAUACUCCAUGUUCCUAUACCCAGUCAUCAAUCAUAGAAAGUACUGCUAAAUUUCACUAAGAAGACCCUAGGCAGAGGAGAAAAUAAGAGCAAGAGCAUUGAAUCCUUGUCUUCAAUUUGGAUUUUAGAUUGAACUGACUUUGGUGAUCAUUAAUUAGUUAACAUUUUUUUUUUUCAAAAAACACUGACGUUGUAUGGAAAAUGUGUGACGUUGUACGGCUGAACCAUGCAACAACGUUAAAAUAAAAGGAUUUGAACCUCUUGGCCCGCUUAGGAUCGAUUGCCCAAAGCUCCGCCAACUCUUCCGGCGCCAUUGCUUUUCUCGCCUCCACAAACCUUUUCUCAUCCACCAAACAACCCUUCAGCCCACGCCUUUGCCGUUGUUUCCUCGGCUGAGUCGUGAUGAUAGCAGUCUUGCUCUUAUCCUUCCUCUUCCGCCUCCCACGACAACGGCCGCCGCCACAGCUCCCGGCAACAAAACCGCCUCCGUUCUGGAGAACGUCAUUGUCAAGGCCGACGUUGACGUUGUUCUCCUUCUCUUCCAGCUUUUUAACGUCCAUGUAAAUUGAGAAAAGAUCAUCGUCAAAGUCAAUGUCGAAAUCAACAAUGACAUUAUCAUCGUCAUUGUCGAAUGCUUUUACAGUUAACUCCGGCGUCCAUGCACAGUCCAGGGAACCUUUGAAAGGAGAGCUGAUCAUGUCGGCGUCGGGUGUUUCCAAGAACAGAAGAAAUGGCGGAGUAUUAGUUGCGGGGUUUGGCUCGUCUGGAUUAGUUGAAUUCAUCAAAGAUAUUUAAACAAAAAUUGAAAAUUCUGAAAAAAAAAAAGAAUAUUCUGAUGGAGUAGUUUUGGAAGAUUCAACAAUAAAUUAAAUAUGGGGUUUAGUUUUGGAAGAUUCAACAAUAGAUUAAACAACAAAUUAAAUAUGGGAUUUAGUUUUGAACAAUAAAUUAAAUAUGGGGUUUAGUUUUGGAAGAUUCAACAAUAGAUUAAACAACAAAUUAAAUAUGGGAUUUAGUUUUGAACAAUAAAUUAAAUAUGGGGUCUAGUCCCGGUAAAAUUAGUGCUUCCUGGGCCUUUAUAUAGCGAGGAAGAAGAAAAAGAUUAAAUUUGCAUUUCUUGGCCUGAAAUUAAAUGUGACGACUUAAAGAUGGCCACUUGUCGUGGUGCAGUAUGGUUUCUAAAUUCAUGGCUGCUAAAAUAUAGCUCACCACCCUAUAUUCCUGUUCAGGUGGAGGUUUUCCUUCGAUCAAGGGGCAUAUUCUUCUUCAAGCUUUUAUCUUCUUCCCAUCUGGCGUCAAGAAUUUCUCUAUUUUCCUCGUUAUCUGCCACGCCAUGAACUUAUCCACUAACUUUAUUAUCAACUCAAUCAAUCAGGGCAAAUCAUGUACCCGUUUUUCAAUUUAACCAUCCAUGAGAAGUGAGUGGAAUUACAAAGAACACAAGGCAGGCAUUUUUUGCUAUGAUAUAGGAAGCACGCAAAUAAUUUUCAGAACAAGUGGAAAUUGGAUGCUGAACUCAGAUGUCUCCUUGUUUGAAUAAUCCGCUUGUUUUUCGGGCAAGAAGAAGCCCAUCAGGCCCACUUGCCGAAUUUAGAUCCUUGGAACCCUCAUUAAUUUGGGAUCAGUUACGAUCGAAUUCAACUGCAUCAUGCAUGUCUGCGGAGAGCCCUUUUGUUUUGGGUCACAUAAGCAUCGAUUGAAGAUUUGUUCUCAAGGCUCACUCAAUGAGGAUUGAGGAGAGAGACUGCUAGUUAAGUGAAUAUCAAAUUUCUUUAUCGUUCAAGUCCUCUAUUAUGCAAUCCCCGUCCUCUUGAACCAAAAAUAAAAAAAAAAAAAAUCCAUUAUGCUUAUUCAAUAACUUUUUUAUUCAUUUAUUUUCGUUUAGUAGUAAGACGGAUGGGAUUCAAGAAGUGGGAAGGAAGGAGGGGGAUUGGAACCUAAAAUCUCUAAUUAUUCAGACUUCAACCUUAGUUAUUUGAUAACGUUUUUUUUUAUAGCAAAAUUGAAAUAGCUUUUAUCAAGAUUAGAAGAGAGAGAGAGAGAGAGAGAUUGUACUCUGAGGUCAACUAACCCACAACCCAAUUUUUUUUUAUUUAAAAAAAAGAAAAUAAAAAUCAAGUCCAUGGUUAUCUAACAGUCAGCAUUUGGAGAAAGAAAAAGAAUUUUUGAAGGACAAGGGAAUGAUGCAAAGCCGCACUAGCAAGUCAAGAUUUGGACCAUUUGAUGUUGGUGGAUGAAAUGGUGAAUCGCCAACCUCAACUGUUUUUAUUUUAAGUAAUUAUCUUCAAGAUAUGACAAAUUAGUUGGCAGACUAAAAUCACAUCAACUUUAAAUUAAAUAAAGAAAGAAAAACUUCACUAUUACCUGUCUUGCCAGAAAAUAUCUACUUUGUCGUGUUGCUUGCAUUCUUAGCCAAUGACACCAUUGGAGAAACUAAGAUAUUUCCCCGCUUCUCAUGCCGCAAAACCGUGCAUGACUGAUAUUGACAAUUCUAUAGGCUGUCCAAGGAUUAUUAGGAAAACAACACCCACCAAUUCCAUCAAAUUGCGUCAUGAUGUAUGUUAAUACAGGAAGUAAGAUGUAGUUGAUCUGUUGUCACAAUUAAUAAUGUUCUUCAGUGGAUGAUUUCUCAAAUACUUCUGUGCAAAUUUGCAGUGCUACAAGGUAGUAGUUUUAGUAUAAACUCCUCGAGUUGUUGUUGAGUUUAAGGUGAAGAAGCAGUAGUUCCUUUCUCUCCCUACCGGGUAUCUAAUUCCUAGUCCCAAAAUUCAAUUCGACCAUAGCUAUGCUGGACCAAUAUUGAUCGAGUCCCCUGGUCCCGAUUUUCAAUCACAGCAGCAAGAACCCUUUUAAUUGAUUCUCUCCUUUCCUCUGCUUCCUUAUCCAUUUGAUCAACUGGAUGCUUUUCCAAAGCUUCUAUCUUGUUGGAAUCCUUCCAACACUUCCUCGUUUUCGCCUAAGCACGCCGUCUCUUCCUUGGCAAUGCGUCUAAUCAUGCAUCCCGGUCACUUGAACCCCAGCUGGCUACUCGCUACUUUGCUUCCUAUCAGCUCCCCACCACAUCUUCUUCGUCAUCUAAUUUCCCCCUCAUCCGUCGUAUCUACACAUCCCGACUUUUGUAUGUAAAAUACCUUCACCCAGCCAGCUUCACGGUUUUCUUGCAUUUCAAAAAAACAAAAAAAAAUUCACCCUUUCGGAUUCAAUUCAUCUAGUCACUAGCUAUAUCAGGCAUUUUUGCCAGCAUUGAACUAGCAACGACCCAUAUUUAUUAGUUACGCCAAUUAAUGGGAAAUCAACAGAAUCGAUAUCACCUGCCUCGGCACCUCCUCAACGGAUCCGAUGUCGCAACAAUGGCUUUAAUCAACGAGACAAGAAGCAACCCGACUAGUAACGACGCGAAUUUCGACAGCAACAUGGUGAUAAUAUUGGCAGCUUUGCUAUGUGCAUUAAUAUGUGCGCUUGGCCUAAAUUCAAUUGUGCGCUGUGCAUUAAGGUGCAGCCGGAGAUUUGCCUUGGAAACUCCCGAGGGUGUAGCCUCACGUUUGGCCUCAUCGGGUCUAACCAAGGACGCGUUACGUAAAAUCCCGGUGGCUGUUUACAAGUCGGGAAUCAAUAUCGCAGCCACGGAUUGUCCCAUAUGCCUGGGAGAAUUUAGUGAAGGAGAGAAAGUACGGAUUUUGCCCAGAUGCAAUCAUGGUUUCCAUGUCAAGUGCGUGGAUACGUGGCUACUGUCGCAUUCAUCCUGUCCAACUUGUCGGCAGCUGUUGUUUGGACAUCCUACUCCGGCGAAUACUUGAUUAAUGCAAGGUAAUUAAUGACUGCUGAUGAAGUUUUGUGGUUUGUAGAUUUUGCUGUAGAGUAAUUGUUGUUAUCUGGCAAUAGAUGAGGAGGGUAAUCCGUAACUGUUGUUAUACUCGUUACUAUAGCAGGUUAAUUGGUCUUUGUCAUGAGUAGCAGCGGGAGGUAAUCUCGUUGUUUUGAGAAUCCAAGAAUAUGUCAGUUUACUCUUUAGUUUCGAGCGGCUAUGUAUUAAGUUCACAACAUGUAUGUAUGCAUGCGCAGAAAUUUACACCAACAAUACCUUAAAAAAAAAAAGAAUAGAUGAAGAGACUAACUGGAGCAGUUAGUUAUCUGGUGUUGCUAGCUUUUGUUGCUACGUUCUUGCAAUUAUAGACUGCUCAAUUUGUCUAGUCCGCAAAUGCCACACUUCCCUCCGAAAAAAACUCAGAGAAAUACCAUUCCCACGUAAGAGGUGAGGUACCUGCAAUUAUGUAUGCGGUGCAUCACCAAGAUGGCAAAAAUACGAGAAGAAUCUUGGAAGAGUCUCUCAAUCUGAGGGGAGUAGGGGACCAAAUGAAUGAAUGAACAGUGAAGGUCGGAUAUCAAAAGACCAAAUGGCAGCCUGCAGAUAUGAGUUAUUGGGCAGGGAAUUGGCUGGAAAAAAAAAAAAGCACGUCAAACAAACUACUACUGCUACAAAAGACUGGAAAAUAUGGUACUAGUACUAGAAUUGACUGAAAAACAUGAGGGCUUCCUUUAGUUAGUUGUCCGGUUGGCUUCAAGUGGCGGUGAACUAAUUUAACUGCUCUUUCACAGGCUUCACAUAAAUAUUCCAGUUAGGUGAGUCAUAGACUUUUGCCGCCGGGGGGCUGGGGUGGGGAGCUGGGAAGAUAUUUAAGUGUUUUUUUUUUUUGGAUUUUCUUCGAUUCUUCUUCGAUUUCUGGUUUGAAAUGAUUGAUGAUUAAGACGAGAGUUGUUAGGACCACAACUGCUCCAAUUAAACAGGCAGAGAGAGAAAGAGAGGUAAAUGAAAUAAAACAUCUUACCAUGCAAUAUCCAUUAGUACUAUGAAUCGCACCACAUUCUGGUGAUUGGAAAUUUGAAGUCACUUGGAGCAAAUUGAUACGUCAUCCAUGUUUGUUGAACUGCUGGGAGUACUAUAAAGACAUAAGAGGUGCCACUGUUCUUUAAUUUGUUCUACGUACUGGUGAGUACUUUAGUUAUUGCAUGUGUGGGCGUACGUGGGACCAUGAGGGACAGUAGUAAACUCUAUUACCGCCAGAUUAAUAGCCAGAUCAAUGAGGGCUUUUUAACUAAUGUUCAAUUUAACUCUCACUACUGAUACGAGUGGAUCAUAGUUAUUCAUGCAUCAAUUUUUCUAGUGCAUAGCGCUGUCAAUUCAUUUGUUCGUAAUAAACAAGCACUUAACUCUUUAGUACGAUAAAGUUUCACGUUACUCGUAUCAUAUCUAAAUGUUUGUUUAUCUAUGUGUGUCUUUUCCUUUCCCUAGGAAAAGGAUCUAGAAAUGAGAAGUUGUUGCGCUCUUAAAUACAAAAGAAAGUGAUGACGUAUUUGGCAAAAUGAAAAUCAAAGAACAAAACAAUAAUAUAAGUGGUAGUUAAUUGAGUUGGCACAUGGAAAAAGCAAGCAAAAAACAACGGUGGAUGCAGUCUAAAACUUUUUGAGUUUUGCCUUGAUACCAAUUGACAUGGUGGCGCGUCUAGAAAGGCAAUGGGUGGUUAGUAGGUGAAUAAUAAGGCGAAUAAGGGGAGCCCAUCACAAAUGAAGACUGGGCAUUGCCGACGAAAGACGCGGGAUUAUUAUUAUUGUUGCCGGCAUGAUGGUUAUUAUGGCCUCGAUUGGGAGUUCUUGGAGCUGGACUUCUUGGUCUAGACACCAUCCCACUCCGACUAUAUCGAUUCUCUCCGCUUCCCCUAGGCCCUUUCUCCGCCCACUUUAGCUCUUGUUGUUUAACCAGGCUUGGAUAUCCCAUGCAACAUCCCAUUCGUCCUGCUCUCUCAAUGUACCUGUGUCGAUAUAAUUGAUAAACAAAGACGAAAUAUUAUUAUUCUGUUCUUCUCUGAGUAAUGAAAAAUUUUGUAAUCUUGCGCAAGUUUUGACGUUCUCAGGGCAUUUGGAGCUCUUUUUUUUUGUCAUUAAUUAAUCUACCGGCUGAUUAAUUACUGUAUCAGGCGGCAAAGGAUAAAUUAAUAAGUAGGGACAAUUGAGCAUUGCUUUCAUACUGUUUAUUAUAAAGCAAAUCAAACGUUUCCUUCUAGAAAUUAUCAAGGAAAAAAGCAAAACAAUUAUCUGUCGUAUAACUGGGGAGUACAUGCUACAUUAUUUUAUGUAACUUUGUGUUCUGUUGAAGCUUCCAACAAACCUCAUCCAUUAAUCUUAGUAUUAUAUUCAUAUGAAUUAACUGCGACUUAGUCCACAUUCCUAAUCAUCAUGCAUAAAAAUAUCUUAGAUUUUGUAUUUUAUGUUUUGUUUCCACUAUCACGACUGAGUCAAAAGUAUGGAGCUUGAGGCAUGCAGUUAGGGAUAAUUUGAUCAUACACUGCCGCCUCACUUUAGUGCAGCAUUUUCUGAGUCCCAUUGAUUCUGCAGGGGUCAUCUCAAGCAAAUUCUAUGUAUAGUACCGACGUUAUAGCUCGUGAGUAAGAGUUGCUGUUGAGAGAGUGAUACCUACAAAUUCGAUUUGAAUUAUAGUAGUUUAGGUCUGUACUGUCAGGAAAUUACUACCCUUUAACCUAAGGUUUAGGUCUACACUGUGCUACCAUCUUUUCUUUCUUGUUAUUUUCUCAAAAAGACCUGGUUGGUCAGUAUUCGAUGUCAGUUAUAGUCGACCCAUCGAUCCAUAUAAGUAGAAAAUUUUGAAGUGUGUACCGGUGACCGAAUCUUCGUCCCAAGCACUCGAUGCACUUUCGGCCUUCUGUCAUUUCUCCCAUGCCAAUAACCACGCACUGCCGGCAAUAGACUCUCCCGCAUACCUGAGUGGAGAAUUUUACAAUAACUCAUGCAUGUCCACGAAAAUAUUGGGAGUAGAAACAGAAGCAUCUAAAAAGACCAAAGAUUGAAAUAACGCGACGUAAUGCAUGUGCAGGCUGAUUAGCUUUAAUUCCUCCAUUAAAACAAAGAUAUCAGGAAACUUGAACCUUAUGAAUAUGCCAUGUGAUCAAAAAAUCAUGUUCAUUCAUCUAUUAUUUCUCUCACUUCAAACCUAAGCUUUUAUCUUUGUCACUUUGACUCAAUUUCGAUGGACCAAAGCAAAUAUUCACCAAGUUUGGAUAAAGAAAUUACAUCAAGGAAUUAAUAACAUUCCUAGGCGACAAAGUUAAUAAACAUAACCUAAAGGCGACCGAUCUAUCUGGCCAAGUAUUUACAUGCUUAUUCAAAUUUAGAGCAGCCGAUAAUGUACAAUACAUGUAUUCUAUGUUUUGACGAACGUUGUCAGAAUGUGUAAAUCUGUGCAUGACAAAUUGAUGAUAUUUAUGUUCAAAACAAAUUGAUAAUUGUGCCUAAUGCUCUGAAAUAAUAGUAUAACAGUGAUAGAGCAAAAAAGCAAUAUGUCAGAGGGACAAAAAAAAAAAAAAAAAAGGAGGCUAGAGUAAAAGAUGGUUGAUUUACCAGGCAACGAUGACGGAAAACAUAGAUGUAGGUAGUGCAAACGGUGCAGAUAUUGGAGUGAGGGAUUCCAGGUCUCCGCCUUCCUCCUAUCUCCGGGUAUCCACUCAUUGAAGCCAUGCUGAUGCCACUCAUCUGGCUCAUGUCACCAUACCCCAUGUUGUUGUGCAUCCCGUGUGUACUAUGACUAUAAGGGCGGGCAUGAUGAUAAUGAUGAGGAGGAGGUGUAGUCUGUCCAUGAACAUAAUGGUGGCUUCGAUGACCAUUUGCACCCUGAUGAUCACCAACCCCAGAUUGGUGCAAAUGAUUAGUAGUCAUUGGUGAAUUGUAUGUGUCUCGACUCUUCGAAAGAUGAUGGAUAUGGGGAAGGUGGUGGGAUUGAUAAUGAAUUUGAUGAUCGCAGCUGGCGGAAGCCUCUAGGCCUCGGCUAAAAUCCAAACUCGGUAUUUUUUUGAGAGGGGCUACUUCUUCUUUUCUUGGGCUGGCUUCAAUGAUGGAAUCCAAAGUGGGUGGUGCGUUAUUCUUGUCUAUUGAAGGGAGACCAUUUUGUUGCCUCACUUCAGCUAGGUCUUGAAAGGUGAGGUUAACUGAAUCAUCAGGGAUCCCUGAAUAUAACUCCUCCAGCUCUCUUUUUGCUUUUGCGAGCUUUGUCAAGUCUCCCAUUGUUUUCUUUUUGGAGAGGAAAAGAGUGUAGGGUUAGGAGGUAUGCGUUUUAGGUGUAGGGAUUUUUCCAAUGCAGGGGAAACGGUACUUAUAUGUAUAAUGCAAGUGCAGGCGGCAGGAAAAAGCCAGGAUACCUGGCCGGUCGAGAAUUGCACUACCGGACAAGGGAUGACGAAGAGAUUUUUGAGAGUACAGGAAAGAUAUAUAUAUAUGCAUUUUUUUUCCCUUCUAUCAGUCAUGUGCUGUUCUUUUAAGUUGGACUAAUUGCCUCAUCAUUCAUGCAAAUGCAACCUAUCCCCUCCUACAGAUACAUCAUUCAUGAAUUUUAGGUUUUGGCUUAACUGAUGUGAGAUUAAUUAGAUUGUUUAACAAUGAUAAAGCAUCAUAAAAGAAACGUUGAAUUCCAGAGUAAAUUAAGGGGAUUUUUGAGACUAGCUAGUAUGUGCAUUGUUAUCAUUUUACACUAGCUAGUACUGUAUAAGGAUAGCUUAACCUUACCAUCGAUUGUUGCUAUAAGCAACCAUAAAAAUGUUUCGCAACCCUCUUUCCUCCAUCCCAAUGCAUCCUUCUGUCGGUAGACGAUAGACGGUUGGGAAUCAGCUGGGAGCGACUUGACUGGCUAAGUAGUAAAUCUGCUUAAGUUUCAUAGCUAUCUAGUACUUAAUUACUACAUAAUAAUACUAAUGGAUAGUAAUUUAGCGAGUUAAUGGUUCGGGAUAACAUUUGGCCGUCCCUUAGGAUCCUUACAGGAUGAUGAUGAUGAUGAAUAUUUUCAAUCUAGGCCGACUCUGACAGUUUUUUUUUUUUUUUUUUUUUCGAUUAUUUUAAGGUAUUAACAGAGAAAACUAGAAAAGCUGUGUGUUAGCCGAGCGUGCGCAGAGUUGAACUUCUCAACUCAACAAUGAUAGAAAUAAUGAAAUCAUGUUAAGAUUGGUAUGACUGUCAAAAAAAAAAGAACAUGAGAAAGCAAAUAAAGUAGUAUAAAUAUCACAACUAUAUAUUCAUAGUUUCCGCCGGACAAUAAUAAUUACUUUGAUGAUGUGACACUGAAGGAAAACACUAAUAUAAUUAAUAAAUGAGGCCUGGUCGGAAAAGACAAAGGGCUGGCCGGACUAUGACUGUGAGAGGGCGACAAAUUCUUGCUGUCUUUGAUUGGGAGAUGAGAAGGUAUGGGUGGUUUAUGGAAAUGGCAUAAACAACGCGUUCAUCAUCGUCCUUGUCAACCUAAGGUAUAGUGAUCAACGAUGUAGUUUUAAGCAUAUGAGCUCAUGCUUGCAAUCCUCGGACGUCAAUUCAACAUUUCACUUCUCCUGAGUCUAUUGGUCGGAUACUGCCACAUUCUUUCCAUUCAGCCUUUUGGCGAAUCCUCUACCAAGAUUAACUUGUGCAAUGUAUCUUAUUAGUACAAAAUGAAUGAAUAUCUUUGCGCGUCUGCCUUCUUUUUUUUUGAGCCAGUUUAAGAACCUUCCUUCCCCAGAGUCACAAUUAACAAGAGUUUUGGACCUCAGAUUCUGUUUUAUUGUCAAUUGGCGUCUGACUUCGGGUAGCAUUCCUUUUGUUUCUUCCCCAGGGAAACGAAACUUCUACCCAGCUAAUCCUCAUUCGUUGUUUGUCAGCAGAUUAGCAAUCGCAAGCAAAUCGUUCGACUCACGUGAACAUUUUUUUAUUAAAAACAAAAAAACAAAGAAAUUAAAAGGUCAAAUAUAUUUGCAUUUCCCUUUCCGCCGCCUUGGAGGCCCUUUUCUCCUUCAAGUAUAAAGGCCUCCAACUUCUUAAGGCCGGGUAAAAUUAAAAAAUAAAAAAUAAAAAAAAUCGGCUACCAGGGUAAAUUCAUCUUUGUUUAUGGUGGACAAAAGAUCUUUUGUUUAUUGUGGACGAAAUCUUGACGUUGGAAGUUGAAUAAAGAAGAGCUCGACGAAACGGGCCUUAACAAUUCCAACCAGACGGACUGCGUCCAUCGAGACAAAUAGAAUUUUACGGGCUUUUCUCUUUUCAAUUCAGCCCGCAACACAUUAAAAGGUUCAUGUCCAGGUGUCGGCGCAGGGUUAACUCUGAAUCCUGAGAAAGCCUUUGCUUGUGGCCCAAUAAAAUGCUGACCAAAGUCGCUUUAAAUUUAUAGGUUCAAAUUUUAAUUAUCAAAAUGUCCAGAAAUGUCUUGAUUGCUCUUCAAAAUUUUCCUUUUUCUCAUUUAUCAACUAGCGCGUACCACUUUUGACAAAAAAAAAAAAAAAAAAAAAACUAGCGCGUGCCACCAUAGCAUAGCCAGAGCAUGCAUGCCAAUUACAAUCGACCAACUUGCACAUAUGCCGCCCGAACCAAAACAAAACAAAAAAAAGAAACCCGCACGCACAUUGCUGGGGUUAGGCAAAAUCAAGUGACAGAUGCGAUAGAGAGGGAAGAAACGGGAAGGUCCAAAAAACUCACUACUGUAUUCUUUGACGGUAAUGCUGUGUAUAUAAAACCUAACGAAAGGGUUAUGAGAUGUGCUACUGGCUACUGCUAUAUCAUUACAACCAAAAUCCAAAACUUAUAAAUAUCAAGAUAUAUAGCUCAGAUCUUUCAAAAAAAAAAAGAAGAAGAAGAAGAAGAUAUAUAGCUCAGCAAUUACUCAUCUUUUACCCUUUUUCUAUCAGAAACUACUCCUCUUUGCCCUUUUUCUCGGGCCCCAUAUUGGCUGAUGCGCUGCACCCUUCUUCAGGUAAGGACCCUUCACCGUCACCGGGAGCAUGCGAUGGUAGCAAGUGAUGGCUCACGCUUGCAACCCCAUCCUGCCUCAUAUACACGUCCAAGGGAAUGCUCGCUGCGUCUAUGAGGGUGGCCAAGUUGAUUCCAGCUGCUGCCUCGGCUAGCAUGUCUUCUUCCCUACUGGGGUGGCAGUUUAGGUCUAAUUGUCCCUUAUUGCUCUCUCCUGCCUCCAUCAAGCUCCCAUUCUGGCUUCUUUCAGCAUCUGAAUGAUUUGUCAGCAGCAAUGCGUGCUCAGCUGCCCCUUCCAUUUCUGACAUAUCUAGAGGAGGAGUUUCUUCAUCCUUUCCCUGGAGAAGUUCAGCUUCUCGGUCUGACUGGCGCUUUUUCUUUCGCAUCAUGAGUGUUUUGAAGCGCCUUUUCACAGUCAGGCAAACAUUACACUUGCACGAAGUUGGGUGUUUGCCCUUUCCACUUGGGGGCUGAAUGCAGACAAUGCAACUGCAUCCAGGACGAUGGCGAGGAUGUUUGGUAGUGGCUCCAACUGACAUCUCAGUCAAAUCCCCCAUGUUGUCCCCUAAAACAGCAGCAGUAGCCAAUGCAUCUAAGCCAGAAGGCUCAUAGUCUUCAGCUACCUUGGUUUCUACUAUUCUUCUCCUCUUAAAAUCUGUCAGCAAAUGAAAGACAGAAAAAUUCCCAGAAGUUAACUCUCAUUUAUGGGGAUAGACAUUUAGCAUUUGAUAUCAUUAUUCAGAAACAAAUUCUAUCAUCCAAAGAAAAACGCAGAAUAAGAGCAAAGCGACUACAACAGAAGGGAAAUUUUCAAUUCUUUCAUUCACACUGUUAAUGGACAUGGAAAUUUCUGUAAAUCCUGGUCAAAUGAUAAUAUGUUCUUUUUCUAUGGACGAAUAUCAGAAUAUAGAGGAAGGUUGAUGAAGUAUUUAAGUGCCACCUUGUUUCUACUCCAGAACAUUCCCCGAUUUCUAUGAGCACAAGUACCCGAUGUGAAGCAGCAGAUGGAGCAGAAAAUCAGGGUGAAAAAUGUGCACGGAUCUACUGUUUAGUAUGACUCAAAAUGUAAGAAGAGUAUAUAUAAACCCACCACUCAUGUGUCAAACUCUUGAGAUCAUUCAAAGCACCAUCUAAGAUGGAAUUCCUAUCUAGAUAUUCAAUCCGUUUUAUCAAACCAAGACACGUACUAUGCAGAAGAAAAUUGAAAUUCCUACUCUAAUUGAACCAGAUAUAUCCAAAAAAGUAUGCAACUUAUACACAUUUUGGACUGCUGGCAUACAUUAAUAUAAGGAAUACUACUAGGAACCAAAUAAAUGUAGUAGAUUACCAUCUCUGCGGCGGUAUGUUAGUGGUGGUGGUGGUGGUUGUAGAGAGAGAAUUAUUGAGAGCAAAAGAUGACGAGGAGAAGGAGAGGUAGGAGUUUGAGGGGAAAAAUAAAAUAGUUGCACAAGAACUUAAGAGGCAGAAGGUAACAGAGAAAGAAGUUUAUAGAAUGCAUACAUUCAUAUUGUGUUUCUAGUAAUAAGUUCAAUUGUUUUAUACUACAGCCAUGAGAGGAUAUUGAAUAUUGUAAGUAAAAACUCAAUUUGGUAUACCAAAAGAGUAUCUCACUAGCAUACAAAUCUCAUAAAAGUUUUCAUAAACCUAGAAGUAUAUUACAUUAUGAUUGAUUUUCACAACUCAUUAAAAAAAAAAAAGGCAAAAUUUGUAAUGGAUUCAUACCCUUGCUGGCUAUAUUGAGAGCUUCCAGUUCCCUUGGAUUGAUAUCAUCAGGAGCAGAACAUGAGCUUCAGGGAGAAAUUCAAAGACAUGAAGGUUAGAACUUUUAUCAUUCCCUUCAAAUAGAAACAAAGGAACUUAAUGCCUAAACUCCCCCGAAUAGUAGCAUUAUUGGGGCUGUGGAAGUGGGUAUGUGUGAGGUGAUUGGGUAGUAAAUCUCUACUUACCGACUAAAAAGUAAAUAGAUGAACCUUAGCAGCAACAGUUGCAGAUAUUUUGCUUUGUGUGGAAGAAUGAACACUUUAGCAAAAUAUUUAUCGCGGAGAAGUGUUUUUAUCAAAAAACAAAGCACAAACUAACCUGUUUGAGACCCAAGCAUUGUCUGGACAUGUCCAUCUUGCAGGAACAAGAACAUGCAUGGGCAGCCUGCGCCAUUUCGAGCAAUUGUCACAUUGAGCCCACUGUUCCUGCUGCCUGAAUAAUCAUUUUCCGCAUUUCAGGAAUAGAUGCAUUGCAAUAUAAAUAAAAUAAUAACGCCAUACAGAAAAUCAGAACGAUAUUGGAUUCUGUGAUGCUUAGUGAAAACAGUCUCAGUGCUGUGAUCAGAGGAAAAACUGAAAAAAACUCGUUGAAUUAUCAGCUUCAGUAGAGGCUUUAACUUUUAGAAAUCAAAGUAACUAAUUUAAUGUGGUCAACAUGCUUUUUGACAUCUUGAAAAGACAUUUUUGCUGUCCAAAUUCCUUGUUUAUUGGCCAAGAACUUAAAAGUAUACAAGAAUGAUGGAGCCGAUAUGUGCUUAACAAAUUGCCUUACCCUAGCAAAGAUUAAAAAUACCACCUUUUCAGAAGGUUGCAUGGAAGAGAGAAGAGUAAUAAUUAGGAACUCAAUCCAAUAAAUUGUAAGCGAUUCCAAAUAUAUAGCUAGGUAGAGAAGGCAUCCAACAAGUCUUGAAUACAUCUAGAUCAUAAUUUCUAUCAGACUUCUAGAAUCAGAGAAGCUUUCUUGGCUAAGAGUUUCUAUCAAGAGAAAUACAUCUAAAAUUUGUAAAACCAUUAAGCAGUGCAUGUCAUAACCCAAAAAGCAACACUAUAGUGCAAAAUAUAGCUGUAUACCAAAACAUUUUGUACAGAUAAAAAGAUAUCCUUACCCAGAUGGUUGAACAGUAAAUAUAGUCCUCUUCCCAAAUAUCGGUGGUUCCUGCUAAAGUGAAAACAUUGGAAGUAUGUUGAUGAAAUGCAGGAGGAUUGAAGUUUAAAUGCCUUGAUACGUCCAAGGCAGUUAAGAAAGAGAAGCACAAUGAAUAAUAUUACAGAAUAGAGAAUUUUAAAAGUGAACUUAAAUCAUCUGGCCUAAAUAAAUAAGUACAUGAAUGAAGAAUACUCACAUCAUAUUCCUCAAAUUCACAGUCCUCAAUCUUGAUAAUUGUUGGGCUGUUUGUAGGUGGGCGUAGAAGCUCUUGCGCUUCUUCCCACGUAACUCUAAGUUCCAUGGCAUCAUCACUGUGCAUGAGAAGCCUCUUGUUCUUUAACCCAAUAUUUCGUGCCUUCUUUUUUUCUGGGAUCAAGAUAUUCCGUUGUGAGGAAUCUUCAUGUAUCUGACCUCCAUUGUUGCCAUUUUCAGAAAUCUAAAAUAGCCAUGUUAAUAAAAUAACUGAUAUGGUCAGAAAUCACAAGAAAGUGAGCAAGCAGCAUUCUGAACUAAUGCAAACAAGAAAAGGGUAAGGACUUACAGCAAGCAUGUUAUCACUAGCACCUAAAUACGAAGUUUCACCAGGAGAACCACCAUUAGGAAGGCCAGAUGGCUGUGGAUCCUGUGUCUACAGAAGUACAUGUUACUUGUAAAACUGAAAGCAAAAUUUAAAAGAGGUUUCAAACAGAGAAGAGCCUAUAAAACUUGACCUGCGUCUCAACAUUGGUUGUUGACUUCCGGAAACCCAUGACAAGUUGUCCACCAGGGUCUAUACGGCUAAAUGUCACUAUGAGUAAAACCAAAAGGGAAUAGUCAUGACCUUACAUGAACUAACAAAGUUAGUACAUAGUUGGCAGUUGACAUAAUAAUUAAUUGAGCAUUUAUUUCAUUCCUUGUCAUCAAAUGCAUAUUGGCUGACAAUGACAUGAAUACACACCCUUUGACUGGGAAAAUGGUCAAAUAGUAAUACUAAGUUGAUUCAUUACCAUAUUAUCAAUGUUUUAAGUCUUGAAAGACUAAAAAUUCCAGAGACCAUUUCCAGCCCAGAGAUAAGAACUCAAAUAGUGGACUCGUACAAGAUUCUAGAAAUUGGUUUGGCAAAAAGUGGUUGCCCACAUGCAUUGAGAUAUUAAACUAGCUUCAAAGGACAAGAGGACCCAAAUUUAGAUUUAAUAAAUAGUAACCCAAAUUUAGAUUUAAUAAAUAGUAAGCCCUCAAAUAAAUGAAAAAGAAAAUAUAUAAAAUUCCAAAUCUGAAGCAUAUACUAGUCUUGUGAAUACCAGUAUCGCCAGCUUGCAGUUGCAUGUUCUGUAUGCAAGGAGUAACCCCCUCCAAGACAUACAUUCUGCUGUUAUUAUUGGGCCAAAAUCUGAACUGGAAUGUCCACUCUUUACCCUUCACAUCCUGUAUCCUUAUCGGCAGACCUUCUGAUUGAUUAAUAGGAGGGAAGUAUGCCUGAUUUCAAUAUGCAAUAGCUUCAUGACUAAAGGGCCAGAGAAGAAAAUUGGAUAAAUGGAAGUCAUAAGGUAAAACACUCUAUGCUUAAAGGUCUCAACUGAAUCAACAGCUCACCUCAGCACAUGCCUUGGGAAGAACCAGACGACCAAUCCGGCCAGCAUCACUAGCACUGAGAACUUUCUCAAACAACGGUACAACAGUGGAUUUCAAACUUCAACAGAAGAGUUAAAGUAAAACUACAUGUCGCAUGCAUAAUAGCAAGAUAAUAAGGAAGCUAUCAUCAUUUUUACUUUCACUUCAUAGAGGUGCUAAUCGAUUUCAGAGAGGAAAAACAGUGCAUUAAAUUAAAAGAAAAAGGAUACUCCCCAGAUAUCUGCUGCAAUUCUUGGUCUGUGAUCCUGGGCCAAUAGCGAGGAAGCAACUGACUGCGACCUCGCCCUUCAGCAGGAGGCCUGGCAAUGCGUGUUUGAGAACCCAUUCCUUUAGUGUUCUCAGAGCCUACACUGGAGCCAGGUUUGGGGGGUUUGGGCAGAAUCUGGCGUGCCCUUUGUCCUUGCUGGGCGGUAGAAACUCUGUUCUGUUCGCUUCCUUCAACAAUCCCUUCAGAAAUGGGCAGGGCUGAGCCUGAAGCACUUAGAGCGUUGCUCAAUGAGAAAUUUACAGAUGGCUGAGCUAGAGAUUCAGCCAUGUCUUUAAACCCUUGAUUUUGUCUACUGAUCUCUGGUUUGACAAACAUGGAUGAUCCAACAGAUUGGGGGGUGAAAUUGGGGGAGCUUGUGUUGACUUGCUCAAAAGGAAGCGCGGUUCCUUCACCUUUCUUCUGCCCAAGAGAUGCAUUAGUUCCAACUCUAUGAGGCUUAAACAUUUUUUUGGAACCAUUUACUUCCACAUUAUUGCAGAGUUGGAGCAGACUGUCGAAACUUCUAUGACCUAUUGUACCAUUGGGAAUUUCAUCUCCGAGGAUCUAUAAAACAAACAGUAGAAGCAUCCACAAGUCAAAACAUAUAUAAGAAAAACUUUCGCCUGCUUUCUCACUAAACUUUCUCAUAGAAAGACUUUAAAUGUAUAGACAAUAAAAGCUCACAGAGAGUAACCAAGCAUCAGAAAAAUUUAUGCAAAAGAACAAAACUAAAAUGAGACAAAUCCACCUGAGGGAGAGAAAGAUCAGCAUUCUUUUUUAAGAGAUUAAAAACAUUGGGUCUACCUUGUCCUCACAUAUAAUCAUGCAUGUUCAAAUAAAAUAAAAAUCGCAACUCACCUAUCAUGAUGGUUCAAAAAAUGCCAUUUUUGUAAGUCAAAAUGGAGAAGCUUGUUCGAAAAAUGCAUGUUCAAACAAAAUCAUGCAUGUUGAUGCAUGGAGAAGCUUAACUGACUGAUACUUCUGAUAACUUAGUACAACUGUUUUAGUCUCCUAUGUUUUAGUGACCACAACUAGAUAAGGAUGAAUUAAAAGACGUUUUUUGCAUCUUGUCAUGGUUACUACGUAGAAAUGCUAAAUACAUUGCAAAUCAUUGGAAGGAUGAUAACUAUCCAAUUGUCAUCAGGUUUUGCAAGUGAGUGAAAGAGUGAAAACUUGAAGAUGGCAUGUAUUAAGCUUGCCUUUAUCAUGAAGGCAUUUUAGAAUAACUCGAAGUACAACAGAAGCAAUUACUCUACCCAGGUUGUUUUCAGCAGAUUCAUCAGAUGAUGAAUUACCUUAACCGUUCUCAAUGAAGGAGUAUCCAUUUGCUUGACACACGUUAUACAACCCACACCUCCGAAAUCCAAGAACUCAUGCAACAUUUUUGAAGCGACACACCCACAAUGGAUUCGCUGCACAUUACUGUCUUCUUAGCUAACAGUACUCAAGAAAAAACGAAGAAGAAGACGAAAUAAGGGCAAUAGACAGUUGUAUCACCUUUCUGCAUAUUUUGCAUUCCCUCCAACCAUCCUCAUCCAGGUGGAAUUUCUCACAGAAAACUAGAUUUUCAUAAGCAGUUCUGCAGAGCGUGUGUCAGGCAAGCCACCACAACAACAACAACGUCGUUGUUAGUCCUCAAUCAAUAAUUUAAGACAACACAUAACAUUCUAGAUGGAUCAAACAAGUCGUGGACAAAAUACCAAAGAAACUGAAAAUUCUAAUUUUUACUUAAGAUUGGAAGUAUACGAGUUUUAGCAAAGACACCACAGAGCCAAGAAGCAAUCCCUUUUGCCCUCAUUUCUUCUGCGUAAGAUUGUAUACUUUUUAUUUCAUGAAAGACAAAAUUAAUGCCGAAUUAAUAACCAAGAUAAUGGAUAGUCAUCGCAUUAAUCUCAUUCGGACUUGUAUUCUUUGACCUAUGCCAACUGAAAAAACCUAGUACCAGCUAGUGUAAUUCGGCCCUCAGAACAAAAAACACGGGUGAUUUAAUUGGAGAAAAAAAGGCUUAUUGGACGCCCAACUUUUACGUGUAUGCAUGCAAGAAAUCUAUGCCAAUUAUUAACCCCUGUACGGAAAAAUCGUUUUUUGACAUGAGCACGGCUGCAUGAAUGCCAAUCUCACCAACACUCUUAAUACAAAUGGCAGUUGUAAUUUUUGCAUAAUACAUCUCCCAAGCCACAUUGACAACAUUUUGAAAAAUAAAAUUUAAAAAGAAAAUAAGAAAGAAGUAAUUAAUGAGAAUUUCGGAUGUGUAUCCCGGAAAAAAUUGGAAUGCGGAAAAAUUGGCGAAUAAUAGGAAAUCGAAGAUAUAGGGGAAAACAUAUCUAAAAUGCCAUCAAAACAGAGAAUUAAGCGGCGGGGAGUUAUUUUAGGGAUCCCAUAAUCAGCAUCCCCAAACUGCCCCUAAGAGAACAAAAUCAAAUCAAAAAAAUUUUGAGAGAUACAGGCGAAAAUUGAAAUCAAGAAUUUACCAAGAAAAGGGAUAGAAUUGGGAAUCAAGAAAAGAUUUUUUUUUUUUUUUUUACCCGCAGCUGGAGCAGAGCGUGGCGAAUCCACCCGAUUUCAAUCCCCAACCUUGCUUCCACUCAGGCGACGUCGUUAAACGGCACGCCUCGUUCAUGCAAAUCUUGGACCCCAUCUUUUUCUCUCCGCCCAAAUGCUACGAAUCAAAAAUCCUACAUCCCAUGUACGAGGAACCAAAAUCCUCGUCAAAAACAGAAUUCAGACAGUCCAACACAACCUAAUAAACACACGAGGAAAACAUUUUGACCCAGAUCAAACACACGCAAAAGAAAUCAACGACCAAAACAACCAAAACCAAUACACCUCACCUAGUUUAAAUAAAUAAAAUGCCACGUCCACAUGUGACACUCGAAAUUGAGCAGCUGAAAAACAACCCCAAGUAAUUCGACCCAAAAAAUCAUGAACUAAAUCUAAAAUAAGAGAAGAAGGAAACUGGGUUGCGAGUCAAACAUGGGUGGGAUGAAAGAGGUGGAAUGAGAUGGGUAACGGCGGAUGCAGCGGUGGAGAUGGAUUGUUUGGAUGAGGUAGCUAAGGGGGAAUUCUACGAAAUCAACAAUAAUAUUAUGUAUGUUGGCAUAGCAGCAGAGAUCAUAUAUAUAUAGAGAGAGAGAGAGAGAGAGAGAGAGAGAGAGGGACAGAGAAGGGGGUGGGCGGGGUAGAGAGAAGAGAGAGAAAGCGUGUAUGCAUGCAAAUGCAAAGGAAAACAGAUGCACAAAAUGCAUGCACGACACUUGAAGCCACCGCGACCUCCUCUCUCUCUCUCUCUAUCUCUAGUCUCUUUCUUGUAUGUAUCUAACACCUUAGCCAAAUAGCACCUCACAGCCCCCAACCAUUUUUUCUUAAAUUUUGGCCCCAACUAAAGUUUGGACUUUGGGACUAGUGUCUUUAGUCAUGGGUAUCUUCCCUUUUUUUUAUUUAAUCUUUUUUCUAUCUUGCUUCUGGCUUGCGGGUUUAGUUGUUUAUUAGGACAGUAAAACUAUCUGACUUUUUUUAAGUUAGCGGAGGCUGGAAACGAUGAAAUGAGAAAACUACCAGUACAGUAAAGCUAAAGCAGCAGCAGCAGCUGCAGUAGUUUUUGGCGAAGGUUUUAUUUAGCUACUAGAAGAAUCCCACGAGGAUGAGGGGAAUUUGGAGUUUGAGGAAUUUAAAGUUAAAAGUGGGUCAUGUGAGAGGAGAUGUCAAAUUAGCGCCACCCAACCCCAAGUACCACACGUACGUACUACAAAUACUACUACUACUAGUACCAAAUUGUAGUGGAAGGAAGCGGUUAGUGUUAGAUACUACUCGACUUCCUAGAUUUCAUUUCACAGUUCACAACUGCUGUCUUCUUCACUUGUUUGCUAACUGUACACUUACACAAGUCAAAGCUUUUAGGAUAUCCCCUGCUGUUACUAUUACAUAUGGUGCUACUUAUCCAGAUUUUUCUCUUCCCUUUUCUCGCCAAAACUCUCUUUUUUCCUUCUGCUUCCUCUUCGUUUUUUUUACAAUCUGGCACUUCAUGUCAAAAUAUAGUAUAGUAGAAAUUUUUAUAUGUGGAUAAUAUCCACAUACGUCUACGUUUUAGAUAAAUUAAUAAGUUACACGCGUAAAUGAGACGUGAGCCAUGAGAUUUUUUUUUUUUUUUUUUGGUGGCAUUGGUUAAAUUACUGGGUUUUAUCUCUCUCUCUAUUUGCUCUUCUCAGAACAGUUAAUAUUCUUUAGCUUAUCGUACGUUACAUUUUUCUUAAACAACAUGCAUGCGUACAAAUUUUUUACGUCUUAGAGUAUAGCAUAAAGGAUAUCAAAAUUCCCCCCUCUUUGCGGCAGCGUAUGUCGUAUAUCAAUGGUGAUAUAUAUAUAUAGACACACACAGUGCCAUAUAUGCUCCUUACCGCAAAGUUGUCAAAUUUAUUGUGCCUUUAACUGACUCCCAAAAAAUUAAUGGAAAAUAUUUUCUCCAAGUCCUGUCCAGGGAGGAUCCUAACCAGCUACCAAGUCAAUGCAUUAAAUAGAAAAGAUAGUGUAAUAGCUAGCAAUCCUACAUAUGCCACGUACUUUAUCUUUAUGAAAAUUAUUGCACCAAACGUGACAUCAUAUCAUGCAUUUCCUCCCUACCAAAAACAAAACAAAAAAGACCUCAUCUGCAUGUUCAUACUUGCUUACCAACAACCGUAUACGUACGCUAAUAUCAGAAUUGUAUAAUUUCUUAUUAUUACAUAAAAAUUAGGUCAUAGAAUAUGCUUUUAAACGUCGAAAAAAGCAGAAGAGGAACAACGUCAACAUGGACUUAUAACCCGUUUUAAUAAAUUCAAAAUCCGGGCAUCAUUAGUUCGUAUUGCUAUUUGUUAAGUCAACCUUAUUGACUCGAAAAUAAACGAUCAAAAAAGUAUUAUAUAAUUUUCUGGGCCUUUUUUCCCUUGCUUUCUGGUGAAAUUAUAAUGUAAGUGUAUGCUGUCUGAAAUCAAGCUGACGGCCUUCCCAUGUGGAUGGAUCGAUGUAUGUGUGUGUAUGUAUAUAUCCACCUGUUCACACGCAUAUAUAUAUAUAUAUAUAUAUAUAUAUAUAUAUAUAUAUAUAUAUAUAUGUUUCAAUUUGCAAUAAUUUUGGACUUUUGGGACAAAGACGAUAAAGUAAAUAAGCCUACAACCAGUGGAUUGCUUGCGGGCAUAUUUUAGUUUUUACGUUAAAUUAACCAGCAGUGAGAAUUUAGAAGCCUGCGUUUUGCACGAACGACGCCUUUCAACCAUAUUAACCGAAUCUUAGCCGGCCCCAAGCCCCGAGGAUUUGGCUUCAAAAUACGUACGAAUACAUUCCCCAACCUUUUGUAAUACAUUAGUGCUAAUUAAUUAACUAGGUAAUUAUUAAGUGACGAGGCUAACAAUUAACUCCCACAACGUCAAUAGUCUGAGCUUGAUUCUUCUUCUAUCAAGAAAAGCGUUUAUUCAAUUUCUAGCUAGUGGACGAAUCGAAAUUAAGAUUUUUUUAUGCAAAAAAAAAAAAAAAAAAAAAGUUUUCCAGACUGACUACUUUCAUUAUCUACCUCAAAUUCAGAACUUCCAAUUCCUACUUCAUGAACAUGAGAAAAGAAAACAGAAGGACAUCGAGUGCAAAUCCUCCAAAAUUUCUACCUUCAUCCCCAAAGAUAGUAGUGUUAAGAAAUUAAGGCAGACUUACAAGUUUGUAAUAAUAAUAUCAACAACUAAUCCUUCGUUGACAAAAAGAGAAAAAAAACCCAUGGCCUACUAUUCACCACAACUUGAUCUCCAACAAAAUCAAAAAAAAAAAAAAAUUAGAAGAAAAAGGGAAGCAUACAACAGUCAAUACUGGACUCUAAUGGACGAAACCCGUGGUCCUCCAUUUCUGGGCCUACAUCGACUUGAGCAUAUAUCUGUAGAAACCAUAUCAACGGCAACUCGUAUUUGGGAAGAACGUCGCGGAUUGAUAACCAUAUAUCAUAGAGAACCAUACAUAUAAUAGGUCAUCUUGAAUGAGUAGAUAAUUAGUCAGAUUGUGCUGCAUUUCCCGUGUAUGCCUCUAAUGAUGUGACAGAUAAAAUUUAUUAGUGCUUGGCAUAUAUGUGUCAAUGCAACAUUACCGCUCUGGCUCGCCGCUGCUUAUAAGCUUGAACAUGGCUGAUGAGGCUCAUCUUCUUCUUCUUCUUCUUCUUUUUUUGUGAUUUUCUUGACCUUGCAUAUAUCAACAAUGGCCCAGAAAACCAAGGCAAGCACACUAGUAUCCGAAAUGGCAUCAGAUUCCUGCAGCAGGUUUGCUAUGUUAAUUGAUUAGCUUGAAUAACUACAGAUUUCCUGGUUCAGCUACAAUAAAACUCGCUUUUCAUCAAGAACUAUCACAUUAUGUAUCCCAUUUUUCACGCUAGAGAGAACCUCCUAAUUCUGCGACGUUCAUUUGGUUUCUCUUUCAUUAAUAAUGGAUAUGACCAGGAGGACUAGCUAGCGUGUAAAUAUAAGCAACAAACUAUCCCCCUAUCUGCGUAUCUCUUUCAAUUCCUAAUAUGUCGUUAAUUACCUCAAUACAAACCAAAGGCAGAAGACCACCUCAUUAGAAAGAAUGUUUAACCUGGAAGAAGAGACUACUAUUUUCAUUAGAUCUAACCCUGUUCACAAACCAAAUGAGCAAUUAUAAAAUGCUAAGUUUUUUUGUUUAUUUCAGACAAAACGAGUCAGAUUUCCAUAUCCAGCCAAAAAAAAAAAAAAAAAGUAACGGCGCGACAGGUCAGAAUAGCAAUAUUUAUGAAUUAAGCAUAACUUUGGCGUAAAAUUAGGGUAUACGUGUAUGAACUUUUUAGUUUAGAUUGUGAUGUGUAAAAAUCGAACACAAAAAGGUUCUCGCUGAAUUGUCGUCCCCAAUCAAGCGAAUACAAACUGACUCACAAGAUGUAAUCAAUCCUACAUAGUCUCCUACAUAAAGCGUAAACAAUUAAAUAUAAGGUUUACAAGUCAUAUACUUUCAUUAUGAGCACUGAGGUCUGUAUUAAAAUCUUUCGGGUACCUUCUCCUCAAGAUAUACAUGCAUGCGUUUAAAUCUUCUUAUUUCAAUUCUAUUUUUUAAAUUUCAUUCCUCUCAUGCUAAAAAAAGUAUACAUGCAUGCCAAUUUUUUUAUACAUAAACACAUCUGAUCAAAGUAUGUAUCCCAAAAUUUCUUUUUCUAAAGUUUUGCGAUAUAACUAAGGUGGGAGAAUUUAAUUAACUCUUCGAUCAAGUUAAUUGAAUUGGUUGGACAAUAUACAAAUAGUAUGAUCCCUUUUUUUUUAUACUGAAAGCUAAUUAUUAUGUAUUUCAAAUCAUAAUUAUUAAACCCGACCCGGAGGGAAAUCCGACGAAAGAGGUGGGGUGAAGGGGUUUCUGGUUCAACCAGUGGGUGAGUGGUUCAACCGAUGGGUCACUAAAUAUAUUUAAAUGUUAUGUUUCGUAAUUGUUGAUAUAGUUAAAACUAUAAUAAAUUAUGUCAUGGUAAAUGCUCAAUUAGUCUAAUUUAUUAUAGUAUCAUUAAUUAUUAUAAGAAUUAACAAAACCUAAAUUCAAUUAGUAAUCCAUCAAAUUUCAAGUAUAAAAUUUUAUCUAAAUAUAAUUAUCUAGUUUAUUUAUGAAUUUUAAAUGCAAAAGAUUAUUAGGAACGAUAUUUGCCUUUAGAAAGAAUUGUGUGAUAUGUUAUUUUUUAAAUUCAUUUCAUAAUUUAUAGAGUUUCGGGAGUAAUAAAAUUUAUUAAAAGAUUUCAAAUAAAUUUUGUUUUGAAAAAAUAUAAUAAGAAUAAAAGUCUAAUAUAUAAAUAAAAAAAGACUCAAUAAUCAACAAAUGAGUUGUUAGUGUAGCAGUUGUUGCGUUUCCUUAAAUACAAGAGGUCACAGGUUCGAAGCGUCAUCGGCUCGGUUCACCGGAUUGACCGGUCGAAUGAUCGGAUCGGGCCGAGUUUAAUAACUAUGCUUCAGAUACAAAAUUUAAAGUCAACUUGUACCUAAAUUUCAUCUCUUAUAUAUAUAUAUAUCUAUAUAUAUACAUUUAAGGGAUAAUUUCAGAAACCUCCCCUGAGGUUUCUGACAUUUACACUUACCUCUCCUGUGAUUAGAACAAUUACACUGACCUCCCCUGAGGUUACUAAUCCUUUACAAAUUCAGUCCAAAUGAUUAAAAUAUUAUUUUAGAGAAUGAAAUUAGAAUUUUGUACCUGAUUUGUCCUUUGUACCACAUGUCCAAUGAAUGACAAAGUAUUACAAAUUAAUUAACAAUUAAUAAACUUUAACGAGCGUAGUUUAUAGACAAAUACGUAUUGCCUAUUUAAAGUACCAGCUCUUUACAUAUAUUUUACUUUCAAACAUUUACUUUAUCACAAAUAUUUAUUCUCAAAUACAGAUUUGUAUUUACUCUCAAAUAUUUAAUUUUUGUUAAAUACAAAACCUACCAGUUUUUCUUCCGUAGAAAUAUUAAUAUAACAUUUUUUCAAUUUUAUUUACAAAUAUUUAUGUAUUUAACAUAAAUUAAAUGAUUCAGAAUAAAAUACUCAUAAAGAGCUAAUACUUUACUCAUGUAAUGGAUGAAAGCCAUAAAAAAUUAACAUUUUAUAGGCCAUUUCUUUUUUUUUUAAUUUUAAUUUAUAUUAAAUAGAUAACCUAUCGAUUUUCUUUUUGCAAGAAUAUUAUUGUAACACCUUUUAAUUUUUAAUUACAAAUAUUUAUAUAUUUAUUAUAAAUUAAUAUUUUAAAAAUAAAAUACCUGUAAAGAGACGGUACUUUAAAUAAGUUAUGCGUAUUUGCCUAUAAACUACACUCCUUACUUAAAUCAAUAAACUACACUCCUUAACUUAAAUCAAUAAACUAUACUCCUUACUUUAAAUAGUGUAAUUUAUAGGCAAAUACGCAUAUCCUAUUUAAAGUAUCGGCUCUUUACAGAUAUUUUAUUUUCAAAUAUUUAAUUUAUGAUAAAUAUAUUAACAUUUGUAAUUAAAAAUUAAAAAGUGUUACAGUAAUAUUCUUGCAAAAAAAUCAGUAGGUUAUCUAUUUAAUAUAAAUUAAAUAUUUUUUAAAAAAUAAAUGGCCUCAUAAAAUAUUAAUUUUUUAUGACUUUCAUCCAUUACAUGAGUAAAGUAUUGGCUCUUUAUGGAUAUUUUAUCCUGAAUCAUUUAAUUUAUGUUAAAUACAUAAAUAUUUAUAACUAAAAUUGAAAAAGUGUUAUAUUAAUAUUUCUACGGAAGAAAAACUGGUAGGUUUUGUGUUUAACAAAAAUUAAAUAUUUGAGAGUAAAUACAAAUCUGUAUUUGAGAAUAAAUAUUUGUAAUAAAGUAAAUAUUUGAAAGUAAAAUACCCGUAAAGAGUUGAUACUUUAAAUAUGUAAUACGUAUUUGCCUAUAAACUACGCUUCUUAAAGUUUAUUAAUUGUUAAUUAAUUUGUAACACUUUAUCAUUCAUUGGACAUGUAACACAAAGCACAAAUCAGGUACAAAAUUCUAAUUUCACUCUCUAAAAUAAUAUUUUAAUUAUUUGGACUGAAUUUGUAAAGGAUUAGUAACCUCAAGGGAGGUCAGUGUAAUUGUUUAAACCACAGGGGAGGUAAGUGUAAAUGUCAGAAACCUCAGGGGAGGUUUCUGAAAUUAUCCCUACAUUUAAAUGCACACCUAGAUUUCCCUUUUCUUUUUUUUUCCAAUUUCUCUUUGGUUAAACAUGUAGAUCGGGGCCGGGCUGCAGAAUGAAAUGAUAGACCAAGAUUUGAUGGAGGCUUUUGCAGAAAGAUAAUGCAUCAAAAGAUUCUGGGCUCUGAGUGGCGAUACGUUUACCAAUUUCCUAUGGACCAGCAAAUUAGACAGGGAACGCCAAGUUCGCCAGCCUCUAUAUGCCCCCCCUUCUUUAUCGACUGCCCUUCUUUCAGCUGCCGCCCUUAUGAUUAUGGGGCAGGCAUCUUGCUCGGUGACUUACAGGUCAACGAUUAGAUUGACAAGUGCCUGCCUGCCUGGUUAAUUGUUUAAGCAUUUUGCAAUUGUUAAAUAUUUUCUGCAGAAAGUUAAAAAGGAUUCCUUUUUUCUUCAAUUCUUUAUCGAAUGAUCAUGUCUUCUAAGGUUCAUUCAGAUUAUUGUUGCCCAAGUUGUGAAACUUCUUUUAAGUCCAGCAAAGAAAUUUUAAGUCCCAAUUUGUAAAACCUGACAAGUACCAAUUCAAUGCACUUGAGAUUAGGGGCAUUUGCUUUUUCGGAUUGGUGAAGAUAGGGGGGCGCCUCCAAUUUUAAAACAAACAGGGUUAACAACAAAUUGUCCACUAGAAAAUUACUACAUGUUCUUACUUUGCUCUCUUCUUGUCGAAUUAAAUCAAUUUGCUCCAUGGAAAAUUGAGUUUCUUUUUUUCCUUCGAUUCUAUUAAAUCAAGAGGAUUUCGUAAUGUAACAUGUUUAUGUUGAAGGAAAAGGACAAAUAUUCGAUUAAUUAAUCAAUAAUGAGAGUAAUUGUUCGUGUGGACAAAUACACCUUAAACUUCACGUGUGUGUUUGUGUGCAUAUAUAUAUUUUUGUCCUAGUUCACAAUUUGCUGUGGGUGUAUUUGGUCUUUCUACAUGUGCGAAAAAACACUUGUUUGCCCAAUUGAUUGAGCUCGUUGAAAUUCCAAAGUGCACUUGACUUUUGUUCGUAACAUGUCAUGCAUCACAAGACUUAUAUUAGAUUUGAUGUUGCAUUUGUGGAUUGCUUCCCAUUUAACAAUGAGGUAAGGAUGUUAGAUGUUGUUUGAGAGUACAUUUUCAAAUUUUGAAUCGACGAAAAUUUCGUUGGUCUCAUAGACACGACGACAUGAAAAAAAAAAUUUUAAAAAAAAAAACAGCGAGAGAGCACCAAAUUUGCAAGGAAAGAUAAAAUUCAGCAGUAAAACAGCUAGAUUUCUGAAUAGAUAAUUGCCUAGAUAUCCUCAGUAAAACAGCUAGAUUUCUGCAUUUUAUUGAUUGCAGCAAGAAUAUAUCAUAUACUAUUGAGUUUGUGAACUAAAGAGUAAAAGCUCUCUUUACUCUUUGGCACAAUUUCCAUGUCAACCGUCCUAAAGAACUUCACAAGUUGUAGUAUACUAUCAUCUGUUGAAAAUAAAAAGCGUUAGGCCUAGUUUGGAUUGCGGUUUUUCGUCGGAAAAUUACGUCAUUUUCCGUAAUCACAUUUUCCUAUUACCUUUUUUCCUCACAUACAUCAAAUCGCUACAGUAAUUUUUCCAUGAAAAAUCAUGAAAAAUGCAAUCCAAACACAACCUUACAUUCUGGAAAUGUACGCUUCCACUAAAAUAGUAGUGCUUGUUAAACGCUGAUAUGGAUGGAUGCACAUUAAAGAUUACCCACCGAAGAAAAACAUGCACAUGAUAUUGGUAGAAUAAUAUAUCAACAUCUUGCAAAUGCGAGUUUUAUGCAACCCUUGAAAUGUCAAUUUGUUAUUCAUUUAGAGGCUCCAUGCAGAUUGAAGAUAUAGUAAUAAAUAUAUGCAGGGUUUUUAACAAUCCAAAAGCCGCUGAUAUAAUAUUGUUGGUUUUCUGCUUGUAUUACUUUUUUUUUUUUUUUGCCAGCAAAAAUACAUUGUAUAACCUACUCUGUCCUAAUCUAGGGGGAGAGGGAGCUUAAGGAGACUUGUAUUAGGAGCUAGUAGGUGUACAUAUCCAAUUAAAUUAAGAAAGUGCUAUGACACUAUUCUUAGAUUCUUUUUUUUUACUGUAGGUAAGAUUUGAACUCUCACCUACCGUCCAAAGAGGGACUUAAGUCCCUUCCUGGUGGCAACUGAGUGGUUUUUCUGCUAGUAUUACGGUUUAUUGAAUUUUGUUUUUCUUUUGGAACUCUGGGCUGACGUACACUCUGGAUUAAGCAGUUGUUCGAAUGUUGAGUUGCCACUGUACAAAUUUUAGUAGUGUAUGUUUCCUUGUUUACAGCUAGCAUCUGAUGCAUUUUCAUUCAAUAAUGUGAAGCGUAAAAAGUCAAGCCUACUAUUUACAGGUUUUAGUCACCUUCUUUACUCGUACUGUACGUAGAUGCGCAUGCUAAUUGUACUUGCGGUAUCAAUAAGACUGUCACGGAGGUAUUAGUUUGCACCCAUAAUUUCACGUGCCACAAUUCCGUCUCCUCUGUCAUCAUCGAUUACAAGAGUCAUAUCAAUAUACAAAUUUUAAUGAAAAAAUACACGAAGAAUUAUUACAUACAGUCGGAUAUAUAUAUAUAUAUAAAUAUGUGUGUGUAAAACGAAGAUUCAUAUAUCAUAAUCGAUUGACAGACCUCAAAUUAUUUUUUUAUUUUAAAUUUUUACAAAUAACAACGCCUAUACUAUACUUUUAAGGGACAACUGAAUUAUGUUAUGAUAGGAAUUGGAAAAAAAAGGCUUUGAUUGAAGAGGGAAACCCAACUAAAUUAUAUCUCCAAUGAAAGGGAAAAAUUCAAUUAGACGAUACAAAGAGUGUAAUGAUACAUUUGCGAUCAAAUUAUUAUUAUCUCUUUAACAAGUUGGUUAGUGACCCAAAAAAUCAUACAUACCAUCUUCUUGUUUCAUAUCUGCUCAAAAUCAACGUGAAAAAUUCAUAUCUCGUUUCAGACUUUUUCUUGCUGCACGGCUGGUCAGAUUCGUACAAUCAAGCAAAAUUUGCACAAGCAGAUUCUCUAAUUGCUCUUUCUAACAUAAGCAUUAGGAAUCUUCUAACUUUCUCCCCCUAUUCUGAAAAUUACGAUGCCGUAUUAGGCACAUAUUCGGACAUGAAUUGAUGGUUCAGAUCUAUUCCACAGUCAACUUGGAUUUCUCACUCUCCCAUAUGGUGACAUCUUUUUUCUGCCAAAUCAAAUAUUCAAGCAAGGAAAGUAUAAUAUAAUUAUCAUCUACCGCGUUUGUUCUGAAGGUCAAGAAGAUGAAUAGCCAUACAAAUUCGAAGUGAUGCGAAUUUAAUCCCUUUUUUGGGUUCUUUUUUCUUAACAAAAGUUAAUAAAAGAAACCAACAAAUUCUCUGUUGAUUUUGUUUGUUCACGUAAUAAUAGUCAAGAAAAAAAUAAGUAGUAGUACUAAAGUUGACGGGCUUUUUAACGCUGGCUUAGAGAAUAAUAAAGAAUGGAAGAAUAGAAUACAGUAACAUGACCAGUAUUACACAGAAUCAACCCACGCAUGGGCCAUGGGGCAUGGCAUGAUGGAGUAGCCUUUUGCCAAAAUGAGACAAAUUCGUCCUUAAUCCUCUACUCCCGUGUGAAUGGAAGGGUAUGCAGUGCAUCUCGAGAACAAAAAAGGCAGGAAUCAGUACUGAGCUGGAAGGAUCUCUGUCUAAAGAUGAAGAGGAUAUAAUGGAAGAGGAAGAUAUAUUACUGCUACCGCGUAGGAUAGGAAUCAGGAAGGGAGGAAAUGCUCUCUACUAAAAAGACUUUGAAAGAGGGACGCGAAAAAAGAAGACUGAUGCAUUUUCUCUUUGUUUUUCCUCUCUCUCCUCUGUUGCCAUGUCUGCAACCUUGUCCCAGAAACCCAAAAAGAUCACGUAAUAUCUGUGACUUGAUUUUAUCACGAUUCCACAAGUUUUUCCCCUCCCUACAUAUGCAUUUGCGUAUCGAAAAGAGAUUUAGUACCCACAUUAUUAUUGUCUUAAUAAGGGGAUCCUCUCCUUUCCAGUUUCCCCUAUAAGUAUUAGUGGCAAUUGCCAUUCCCCUUUCCCCACCCUCACCAUAAGUUAAAAUCCUCUGCUCGUCAGUCGGUCGUUUAGCGUUCAGAAGAAGACAUAUAAUUAAUGAGUGUCUUGGUCCUCUCACAAGAGCCUUUGUCGGUUGCUUUUUGUUGGGUUCUAUAGCUAGCAGCUAUGGCAUCUUCUUCAAGAGGUCGAGAAUCGGAUGAGAGACCCCAUGUUUUAGCAGUGGACGAUAGUUUAGUAGAUCGCAGACUCAUUGAGAAGCUCCUCACCAGCUCUGCAUGCAAAGGUAAUGAACCAUUCAUUUGUUCAUUCCUUCCCUUUUUUUUUCCACAGGUUCUCAGGCUUCUUCUUGCUCUCUCUAUCUCUCUCUGUAUAAUUCACUCGCUCAAGCCACUACUCUUUUGAAAAAAAAAAAGAAGAUGUUUGGCAAGUGGCAACCAAGCCUAAAAAUCUCUUCAAACCUCACAAGUCAAGUCAGUAUAGAAACGAGGAUGGACAAUGGAUCGUGGGCGACGUUGUCAGAGUAGUGUUUGUGGUUAUCCUUUACUCACCACCCGACCCCGACCCCGACCCCAAUGACGGAGCCAAGUAGGGGCAGAGGGGGGCCAUGGCCCCCCCUAAGUUUUGAGAAUUUUAAUUCAUAAUAUGUAAAUAUGUGUGUAAAAUAAAAUUGGCCCCCCCUAAAUUUUUUCAAUUUUAGUUUAUAUUAUGAGAGUUGAUAUAUAUAUAUAUAUAUAUAUAUAUAUAUAUAUAUAUAUAUAUAUAUGAAUUAGUCAUCUUUGAAUGGAAUUUCAAUUUUGGCCCCCCCAAAAAAAAAAUCCUGGCUCCGUCACUGCCCGACCCCAACCCCAGCCCCACCAGUUACGCCGCUUAAAUGAUGCCAUAGCUUCGGGAAGAUUAGUCCGGGUGGCAGUAGCCAGUAGUACGGUAUAUCUAACGCUUUUAACAACAUCACGCCUUGUGCAUGUUUCUAAUCUGGCAGAAAAUUGUGGGCUUGAUUGAGGUGACGGCUUGCGUAUCUUUAACCAACCAUUUUUGACAAAUUGACAUCAGUCCUUCCUAAUACUCUGCUUGGUUAUUUACUGCUCGACAUGUCACAUGUAGCAGUAAUUAAUUGUUGGCUGAUUUUACUGUAAUAGUAGAUACUAGUAGUACUAGUAGUGUAUGUCGAAUGUGACGGGGUGUGAUGCUUCCUAACCCCAAUUUCUGGAAAGAACAAUUUUGUUUUGGUUCACUGAAAAAUCCUCCUCAACAAGAUCUUCAAGAUUCAUGCCAACUAAUCCUGAAAAUCACAACUGAUGCAGUUUUAUCACAUCAUCGCCUUCAAAUUUGCUGCUGCUACUACUUUUUUUCAAGGGCUGAAAAUGGUUUAUUGUUGGACAUCAAAUGAGUUGAGGGCAAGAAGCGAGCUUAAAAAAUGCCAAUUUCUAGUAGAAAAAAAAUAUACACUUGUAUUUCAAAUGCCAAUUUCGCACCAUGUAGAUCGUACAAUAAUUCUGCGCUGAAUUGGUCCCCGGUAUUUUAUGUGGUAGUUACGACUGCAGAGAACGGGCAAAGGGCUCUCGAGGUCUUAGGCUUGGGAGAUGGACAACACGCCAACAACUGUGUAAGUAGAAAACUUGCUUUUAAGUUGAUAAAUAGGUGAAUGAAAUCUGCAGCUCUUAAUAAGCAAGUUAUACGCUUCAAUCUUUUCGUCAAUGCUACAACUUUUUUUUUUUGGUUGAUAUGGACUAUUACUUUAUAUUUUUCUAGCUCAUUUUUUUCUGAUGACUGCAAUUGAUUGAUACAUUUUGCAGGUGUCGGAGAUAAACUUGAUAAUUACCGAUUACUGCAUGCCAGGGAUGACAGGGUAUGAGCUAUUGAAGAAGGUCAAGGUGAGCCAUAUUUCACUUUAUGCAUUUUCAAAGCAAGCUCUCGUUUUUAUAGAUUGGCAAAUUCAUGACGAAUGUCUUAACAUGUUUCGUUACUGAACAGGAAUCAUCCAGACUGAGAGAGAUACCAGUUGUCAUAGUAUCAUCUGAGAACGUCCCAACCCGGAUUAAGGAGUAAUAAUCAGGCUGCAAAUUCUACUAAUUUUAAUCUAAGUGGCACAUGAGGCAAAUUUAAUAGCGUUAAAAGUUUAUGCUUAGAAAGAAACCCAGAAAUAUACGUGAAAUCAACUCUGACAUGCCUCAAUUCUUGUUAACUCAAAUUAGGUGCUUGGAAGAAGGAGCUCAAGAAUUCAUGCUAAAGCCUCUCAAUCAAUCAGAUGUAAUGAAAUUGAGAUGUUAUAUGAUGAAAUUAAGCCACCCAUCCAAAGGACAGCUCUGCAUUGGGAGAUAAAAGUUAGCAACUCUGAAAUGAUGGAUUUGAUAGAAAGAAAGGUAUUAGGUAGGCAGAGAUUUGUAUCAACAUCAAACUUGUUAUCAGUUGAACGAUCCUCUUUUGUAUGUUCAUAUUUUGUUCCAUUAAUAUCUAAAGAAAUUUUAAUUUAAGAAAAUGUUCCAAAGCAAUCUCAUGAGGCCCCAAAAAAAAAAAAGGAAAAAGAAAUAAAUUCUGCUUGCGGCCCAUUCCUUUUCCAUUCACUUCACACUAAUCAAAGAACUGCCAAUCAAGCAAGAGAGUAUCGUGGACAAAGCAAAGUCAUGUCAAAUAAUCUGAGAUCUAAUUGAUCGUACAUAUCCCUUGACAAACUUUUAGCAGGAGAAAAAGUUGUAGGGGCAAUGCAGGACAAGCCAAGGAAUUCAAUAUGCUCAAAGCUUCAAGCCUUCUUCCCCGUUACCUUAGCAGAUGCUUCCUUCAGUACCUGAAUGCAAAGAAGUUGCAGGACACAGCUAUCAAGCGUCAUCACCUGGCAUGUUGACUCAAUACUACUUUUCUCCUCACUUCCUGUCCUUUCUUCAUGCCCAAAUCCUUCUUCCAGAUUUGCUAGUUGGGAAGAACAAAAGACAGCUGAUUAGCAGUCUCUGCAGAUUCGACUCUUGCCAAUAACACAACAUACAAUAAAAAGUCAGUUCAAAGAUAAAAAAAAAAAAAAAGUAGUAGAUUUUACUUACCUCCGGAUCCAGUUUGAUGCAAAAAAGAGCUCUGAGCAUUAACCUGACAUCUAACCACAAUGAAGAAUUAAUUAGGCUAAUUUAACGUUCUCUUUUUCCUGCGAAAGAACAAGAUUCUGAAGGUACAAAACAGAUUUUAUGCUAUUCACGUACUUAGCAUCUACAUGGGACGAAUUGCCAUCAAUACUUGAAGUAGCCCCAGAUGGUGAUGCAUCUUCAUCUUGGAGACAAUCCGUUUCUUUCACAUUCUCUCCGGCUUUUGAAGUCCCAUUAGUGAAUUCCUUGCAAUUAUUAGACUUGUCUUCCUCAUCAGGCGUACAAGUACACUUCCGACAUCCUGAGGAUAAUUUUGAAGCCUCAGUAGUGGAUUCCUUGCAAUCACUAGACUUGUCUUCCACAUCAGCUACAUAGAUAAACUUCCCACAUCCUGAGAAUAAGCUUUUUCUGCAGCGGGAACGCUCUCUCCAAUGCUCCAGUUUUCCAUGUUCAGAUACAGGGAGAUCAGAAUGUUCAUCUUCCUCCCUGGUAAUGCUUUGCAGUUCUGAUUCUGGAAAACUGUGACCAUGCAUUGACUUCUGAGGUUUAUACCCCCUAUUGCAGUGCUCAGAAAAAUUUAGCAUACUUGACACUGGCGUAACUUUUUCCAACUUACGUUGGUGGGAAUCAUGUUCUUCUGAUGUCAGGUUGCAACAAGGUGAGCAAUCAGCAUGCACAUUGGUACCUCCGGAUGUGCCAAAGAGAUCUUCAAUCCAAAGUCUGGAGCUUGGAUUUGUAUCAUAUGUCCUGGGAUAAGGAUUAUGACGUGAAAUUGUCUUGCCAGGAUCAUAUGCUUCCUCAAACAAUCGGCCAUUCUCUGAUUUCAACCUCUUCUCAGAAGUCAUUUUUGAGUUAUCAGCUGGUUGCGAUCUUGAUGAAUUUGAAAUCCUAGUAAGCUUUCCUUGCUCAUUUGUGUUGUCCCCUUGCUGGUUAAUCUCCAACUUAUUGCAGGUUUUUACUCUGCCAUACAUAAUGUUUUCACCACAGAUGUUCUCUGAGCAACCAAAAUCAGCACUUUUCGGUGUCUGUUUCUCAGUUGAGUUCAAUGUGCCUUUCUUCGAUACACCCCCCACUGAAAAGAGAAUCAAAAGGUAUGUAUAGUGUAUUUUGUAGGGUGAUAAUUAAGCCAAAUAUCUACUGCACCACUAAAUAUGACCUGCGCUCGACGAGCAUGACUCCUCACUGUCAAGAAAUUAAUCGAGAUGAAAUUAGUUUAUAGAGAAACAUAUAUGACAUUUCCAGACAAGAACAGCCAGGUAUAAUGACCUCAGCAAACUCAAAUUGUCUCUUGUAUCUUCAGUUUUGAAGCAUGACCAUGUGGGUUGGUAAUCAAUAUCACCAACAUCAUGGUCUCUGUGAACUGGAGAUCUCCUGCCAAUAUAAAAGUUAUGGAGUUUAGUAGAAACGAGCAUGCUGGUGGAGAUGGGCUAUGUUAUUGAACUUUCUUACCAUGUCAUCUCCGGAAUUGUGGAAUCAUGAAAGUUCUCUGAGUUCUGGCGCUUCACAUAUAGCUCAGGUGAAUCUGAAAAAGAAUAAAUAAAUAAAGAGAGUAAUAAAGAAAAGAAUAAAAAAGGACAUAAAACAUGGAGGGGCGAUCACUAACUGAUAAACAUUCAAGUUUCUGGUAUGAUCUAAACAGUAGAGGAAAUGAAGACAACAGAACAACAGACUCCAAAAUCACUGAAGGAAGACUGAGAACAAAAAUUAGAAAACUUGAGAAUGAACUCCAUAGCUGAGAAUAAUAAAGCACCUAAUAAAGAAAAGCAGCCAGCAGCUGAGGAAGUGCAGAAUAGCUAAAUCAGAAUUAACAAAUACAAUAAAGACAACCAAAGAAUGGGACUGAAAAGCACCUCUAUGUCCGAGUCUCUUUGAUUUUCUCAUUGUAGUCCUACACAAACGCAGUAAGACGAUUAAUCUAUAUCAGAUGGUACUAUAUGCUUUAGUCAAAUAUAGGUCAAUUCCUGUAUGUAAAACCUGCUCUUCUGUCGAUAAGAGCCUUGAAAAGUAAAUUCUUCACUCCUGCAGUCCAUGGUAUAAUAAUCAUCAGAAGCAUCUUCUUGAUCCAUCCAAAUGUUGCAAGAUGAACCAAAAGCACUCUCGUCAAGAAUUUUGCCAGUUACAGGCCUACAGGUUGCUGGAUGACAUUAAAUAAAUAGUAAAUUAAAAUUUAUUACAUUAGAAGAGCCUGAACAUGAAGCAAAUGGGGAUGCCAAACAAACAAUGAAGCGCAUGGUACAGCAUGUUCAAUAAAUAUUUAGACCACAAACCCAAUUUUUUUACUUCUGUAUAUAGGUGUUUCAAAACUCUAAUCAAGACUAGCUAAUACAUCUCCCAUCUCCCCCAAAAAAACAGUUUGCAUUAAGAAUGACAAUGCUUCUUCAAACUGAUGUUAAUAGCUCCCAAACUAAAGAUUGACCUUAAAGUCCUUCCAAAAAAAGAUGCAGAAAUAUGCAUUACCAUCCCAACUGUGCCUAUUUCUCUCUGUUUUGUGGAAGAAUGGUUCAUCAUUCUGAAAAAGAUCAGUAAAACCAUUAUCAUUGUCAUCAAAUAUUGAGAAUUCUCUGGUGUCCAACAAAUCUUGCUUUGGCUUGCUGAAAGAACCCAAUAUGUCCUUUGAACAGAAAGAGUGCUCCACAGAACUUUUACAUAAGGGCACAUCAACUUCCUGCAUCAUAGCAUCCUGCAUUACAUCAAUCAAAAUACUUACUCCAUGAUAUCAAUAAUUACAAGGAAUGCUGGAGUCAAUAACAAACGAAACAUCAAGAGCCAUACAUGUGGAGGCAGAAUGCUGAAAAAGCAUGUAACUCCUUUUAGCAACAAUUUUCAGAGCUACCAUAAUGUCAUAUCAAGGCACAUAUAUAUAGCUCUUUGUUUUAAAAUCAACAGGUAUUAAAUCACAAAGACCAACACAGAUAGAAGUCAGCAACAAAGAUCAAAUGCAAUAAAAGAUGUCUAUAAGUUUUUCUCUAUUGUGAUACUAGGCACAGAUAGCACCCGUUAGUUUCACAGAUAAGCAAGAGUACAACAUAAUAAGAUGCUCCUUUUAGUUUCCUUUCUGUAAAAGCAUGAUCAUAUGUAAAAUUGAAUAAAAGAAAUCCCGUCCAGGCACUCCAAUUGAGAAUUGGUAAGAAAAGCUCCAGUAAAGAAAUUUAAAACUGUUGAUAAGAUUUAGAUUAUAUAUUCACAGAUAAAUUUAAAUUUCAGACGAACAUCACUGCUAAAUUUAAGUUUCAGAUGAACAUCAAGAAAGAAUAGAACAUUAGAAACCUUAGCGAGGGAUUAAUGACUAGAACUUGACACUUCAAGAGGGAAUUUGACAUGAAAAUGAAGCAUUGACUCUUUUGACAACGAGAUACCAUGUUACUGAAUAUAGAUUUUCAAUACAUAGUUGACGAAGCAAUCUUUUGACAGUAGAAAUUAGGCAUCAGCAUUUGCAUUACCAAUUCAAAUUCAAGGUUAACCAGCUCGCUGUUAAGGUUGAACGAGUCAGCAGGCCUCAUAGCUUUUGAUGGUGGAGAGCAACCAUGCAAGAAGUUUCUGCAGUCAAACAGCACAAACUCACUCUUCACACAAUGCUUCAACUGUGGCUCUUGAGAGAUUAACUAUAAAAAUGAGAAUAAACCUAUAACUCAAUGAUGCUUAUGAAGAGGAAGUUCUGAAUGCAGAGGCGGAAACUGAAGUAUUUAUGACAGCAAAUGGUGAAACAGGAAGGGUUUUUCUAAUGAUGGAUUUUGAUAAGCAAGAAUAUAUUUGAUGGCAUGACAAUGGCAUCCUCUACUAAAGAAACUAUUAUGAAUGCAAUUCCAUUAACCAUCCAUAAGGGCUUGUGGAUGCCUAAGCAAAGAGAAAGCAUACAAAAGAUAAACAUCAAAGCAAUACAUUGAUUUAAAAUAUCAAAGCAUACAUUAGUUGAAAUCCUUAAGCAAUGCUAGUUAUAUGAAAGCUACAUGAGUUAAGCUCUGCCCCCUUUCUUUUCUUCUCUCUCCUCAUUCACCACACUUUUUCAGAGUCUUCCCACCCCCUCCUCCAGUGCACCUCCCCCCUCUCCUAUCCAUCUUUCCUCUAUUUGCUGCUAUCAUGUUUGGCGGUUGCUGAUCAAGAUGACCUCUGCAUUGAUGGGUUAUUUGCCAGUGUUUACUGGGACUUGGCAGACAAGAUAAUGAAAAAGAAAAUGAAGUAUUGGAAGGAAAAGGUGGUCACAUUGAUGUGUUGUGUUAGCGUAUAUUCUACCAAGACUCUAUAUCAUUUUUCUGAUGAUGAAAUAUUAUCCUUAAAAAUGAAGUAGAUAAAAAUAAGAUUCUCCAAAAGCAAGAUUAUAGGAAGAUGCUGUAAACCAUUGCAUCACUUAACAUGAUUUGACCACAUGACAAAACGAGGAAUUUUAAUACCUCAGGUAUGUACUAGGGCCACAUAAAUACAUUGGCUUAGUAUUAAGAGUUGACUCAGAAGUACUCCAUUUUAAGCUAAAGUAUUUGAUCUAAUGAUUGAGCUCCAACAAGCCACUAAGUCAGUACAAUAUCCAGGUUGUCAGAAUUUGGCAUAAUAUGUGGGAAGAUAUUCAACUGAAUUAAUGCCAAAAGUUUGUCAGACUUUGUUUGCAUGGGAUUUAGAUCUAACACCACCACUACAAGUCAGAUUAGUUUGUCACUGGGUCCAAAUUUAGUCUGCACCAAUUUUAGUCACUUCUCAAAAGAUUGUUCUCUGUAUCACACUAAAGAUAUCUUACCUGCCAUGCACCUCUGGUGCACGAACUGGCGUAUGAACUGGAGUCUCCAUUUCCACUCUACCAACACCUGAUAACCAAGUGCACAUUCAGUUACAUUGGUGCAUCAUGCAUCAUGUAUGUUCAUAGAGAUCAUAAAUGCUCAAUACGUGGAUAAAUCUAUUGAACAAAGUAACGAGAGUGACACUGAUCUCAAGUGACAGUGGGUAGUAAAAGAUUAAAGCAAGCAUUAAUCCUUUCCAAUUCUGAACUAUCAUUAAUUUUAGCCAAAACACGCCUGUUUGCUGAGAAAAUUUUCUUUUACUUCUAAUCACAUGCGUCUGCAAAUACUCAACUAAGCCAGACACGUAUAGAACUCAAAAGAAAAUUUGACAAGCAGCACAAACUGGAAGCUUACAAUCUUGGUACUGAAAAAUGUAGUUUCUGUUUCCUUGUUGAACAAUUAAACUUAUUAGGGAAUUGCAUUUUCACAAAUAAGGAUAAGAGAAAAGUAGAAUUAUCUGAUCAGCCUUGUACAUUGUACCUUCAAUUGAAAAUGCAGCAUGAGCUUCAUGUUCUAAACUUGAACCAGUAUGGAGAUUUGGUUCAUCAUCUCCAAGUAUGUCCAUCAUACCUAGUUCUGUAAACAGUUCAGGAAAGGAAAUUACAUAAUUAAUGCAAAGAUACGAGAUCCAUAUAGCUCUUUACUUGAAUACAACGAUUGGAUGGUUUUGACUCCAAAUUUUGCUUCUGGCAUCCCUUCUUUCUUUUCUGACAUUCAGUAUACCAGUGCAGAUUGUAAAUGCAACUUCAUAAAAUGAUAUAUAUUCAACCAAACUUUUGUUACCUUGAUACCCUGGGACCAUUUUUAUAUGAUUUAUCUUGUCAUCAUCUGAGUUGAAAGUUCUUGCAUCUUUACCAGAAGUGCUAACCAACAUCCUGAUAGCAUUGCAGGUGUUAAUUAUGCUCAAGACUUUCCAAAAAAAAAAAAAUCAGCAAGCAUGAAGAUCAAUAACUGCUUAAACUUGGCAGUCCAGAGUGGAGAACAAGUAUAUCAAUGACUACUCAAUAGCCAGCCAAGAUUAUUUUGUGAUGCUGAAUAAUCACUUCAGAAUACUACCAGUUCAAAGAAUACUUGUGAAUGCGAAUUUUAAGAUAUAAUUGACUAUUUGUAGUUUUAAUUACUAAACAUUAUUUUGUGAAUAUACUUACGUCUUUGUGUAUGAACUGCCUGGUUGAUAGCUUGAUGAAAGUCCUAUAACAACACAAAUUUGGGUACUAUUAUCUCCAGCCCUCAGAUUAGCAGACAAGCAGAGAAACUUGAUCAAAAGAAAAAAAAUUCAAUUAAUUUGAGCAGCAUACUUGCUUCCUCAGCUUCAGAGGGGCCGGAAGGUGUGAAUUUGUUAGCUUGAAAACAUUGUAUUGAUUGUGGACACUUGAGUGCUUGAUAGUUCAGAGCACGGUGCUCUGUUUCAUCGUUUCCUUGCAUGGUCAAGAAAGGACUCAGGAAGCAUACACAGACAUGUCAAUUUCAUCAAGGCAUUAGGCAACUUAAGCAUGAGACGUCCAGAUCAGACACAUAGGAUGACCACAGCACCCAACAAGCAAUAAUGAAGUAGAGCACUCCUGAAGUUUUCAAGUCUAACAACUUUAUAUUCAAUGAUAGUAAUUAACAGGUUCUAGAUAUAAUGAUGCAAAUGAUUUGCUGCUCUAGUAGAUUCACUACCAACUGAUGGACUUCAGUCAUGCUAAGUCUCAUCAGCAGAAUUAAGUACAGGUGUAAGCACCCAAAGGGAUAGAAGUCAUUAGCUAUACUCAUUUAAAGUCACAAACCCAACUACUUCUCACAGUAGCACAAAAAUUGUAGUUUACUAGCAUGCAGUAUUUUAUAUUUAAGGAGGAAAAGUAAAACAAUAAAAAGAUCUGUUGAAGUUUAACCGAAUCUGACAGUUGACCAGGAUCUCCUAUCCUGGGAAAUGGAACUGUUAGGUAAAAGAAAUAAAAAUGCAAGCAUGCCCCAUCAUUGUUUCCCAUAAAGUAGCUCAAAGGGAGAAAAAAAAAGGCAGCCCGUAACCCUUUAAGAGUUGGACUAGGAAAAAAAACAAACAAACCUAAAGGGUAAUUUGACUUGUUCUGUUGCACAACAGUUGAUAAGUUCUGAAAACUUAGAAUAUCCAGAGAUCUACUAUUUUCAGCAUGCUGCCCAUGGAUAUUGUGCUCCUCAGAAUCUUUCCUCCCUCCGGUCGCUUGCUGUUGCCGCCUUUUCUGCUCAAAGUAGUGUUUUUGCCUGUAAUAUUAAAGAAUAUGUAGCCUAUAUUACUAAUCACCCAAUAAAAUCCUUCAAAGUUCUUGACAAGCCAUGACAUGAGCAGAAUGUACAUUUGACAAGGGCUUAAAACUGUUUAAAAACAGUAAGAACCAUAAUUUCUAAUGACCUUUUCUGCGUUGACAUUCUUGUCUGAAAUUUCAGCACGCCCCAGAAUCAGAAGGUUUUGUUCACCCAUAUAUGAAAUGGAGAGGAGGACAAAAAGAUUAACAUGUUGAACUGCACAUAAAAAAGCUCAAAGAUGUUCCACCUUGUCAAUCUAUAUAAGUGAUGUUAUAGUACAAUCAUAUAGGACUUUCAAUAUCUUAGAUGCAAGCAAUUGUUUCAAAAACUUUUCAUCUUUUUAAAUUUUUUGUUAUUAAAAGUGCAAAGUUGUGAAUGGUUAACAAAUUUUAAACGCAAUCUGACUUGUUGAAUGCAACUUCACUCGAAAGUGCAAUAUUUUUCAAGCAAUACAGCUUCAUGAUCUUGUUUUACAUGUUUGUGCUCAUGCAUGUCUCACCCUUUUUACUUUCUAGAAACAAAACUGAAAUGAUUUCCUAAUCGAGAAUUUUUAACAGGAAACAGUGGCAGAAAUUUUGACCGUUUUUCAAGAUUAAUCUAACGUUUACAAUUCAAAAAAGUAAAGAAAAGAAAUUUUCGCUAAGAAUUAACAAAAUAAAAUCUAAUACGACAUCAGACUUACGGAAGUCACUUUCCGCCGAGAUCCGCCCAUCCAUUGCAACAUUUUUGAAUAUUCAAAUAUCUUUCUAAAGCCACAACCUAUACAAACACCCAAAAGCUGGAAAAAAUAAGUAAACCAAGACAAUGAGACUAGCUACGGGGAAAUAACUUAAUACCAGCAACUCUGGCAAUAGCACCAUAUAUAAUUAAGCUCUGAGUUCAAUUUCAAACACAAAGCUUGCCAAAAUGUGAAAUUAGUAAUUAAAAAAAAUUAGUCAGCUACACUAGCUUAUUAACGAAAAUAACAGAUAGGCAUCAUUUCUACUUCUUGUGUUCACGAAUCGAAAUUCUGUAUCAAUGCAAGCAGUUGAAAUCAAACGGGAACUAGUGUACAGUAAAUUUACUUGGGUCCUUGAUUGUUACAAUAACAAACUUGGUGAUGUAAAAUCAGGAUAUUCUCUAAAACCUAACGAAUCACUGGUUAGCUAUUUCGCUUUUAAGAACUUAAUUACUUCAAUUCCAUAGGCAUCGAUCACAAUCCGGAAGCAAUCACGUAGACGCGAGUAUGUAGCGGGGAAGGUCUCGGUAGUAGUUAAACAGAAUUUGAGGGAGGUUUCCGGAGUCGUAAAUUACCUAGGCGGUGAUUUCACCGCCAAAUAGAAACCGAAAUGCAGGACAGCAGGAGAUCGACCGGAGAGAUUAUGCCGCUUUCUAUCAAAAUGCCGGCGGAGAGAAGCAUCAGUUUGUACUCCUUGUUUAAGUGAGAGGGGACGCGGGAGUUAUUUCGUGCUGAACGUUUCCAAUUACUAUGACGUAUUGAAGUGUUUUAUUCCUUUAAGCAGCUACCACUCGACGUAUUGUUUGCAACAAAAAUAAAAUAAAACUUCUAACAAUUUCAUUGAUUAAAAAAAAAAACUUUUUCCCCUUAAUUUGUACGGUGUGCUUUUUCCAUUAAUAUAAACUAAAUUUUGUUAACUAAUCACUUUACUUUAGCACAACUAAGUUAUGAUUAUAUUUUGUUUGAUUAGUUAGUGAAUUUUAAGGAGACAAACUUGGCUUCUUAAGUAUUGAGUAACUUGGCAUAUAUUUCAAUUCCGUAGGUCAAGGAUAAAUAAGUCUUACAAAUUCUAUGAUUUUUUUUUUUUUGGAGAAUAAUUCUAUGAAGUUCAUUGCGUAUGUCGAUAUCAGUUUCCAUGAACCUUUUUUUGCCACAUUCACCCAUAAAAUGGCCAAGCUAUUCAUGAACGAUGUAAAAUUUUGUGACCAAAUUGUAAUUCAUUAUUAACUACUUGUAUAGUUCCGUAACAAUAAUUGAAUAUCAUUUAUGGUUUUCACAUGAACAGUAAUUGAAUUCACGCUACUAUUGUGAAGUUGUGCAAAUAAAUAAUAAUAAUAAUAAUGAACUAUAACUUAGUUCAUAAAUAGUUGUAUUCUGCCAUUUUUUCCAAUUAUACAUGUUAUGAGAUUAUUUUUCUUGCUAACAAUUAGGAUUGUUAAUGAGGUUGGGUUGGCUUAUACUAGUUUAUUUUUUCACCACAAAAUCCAAUAAAGAGUUAAGCACGGGCCUUAAAAUGUUCAAAUUCAAAUGGAUCAAACCGAUAGUGCUAUUUCUUUUUUCUUUUUCUUUUUUUUUGGUUUGGGGGGGGGGGGUUGUUGCGAGUGGAGGUAGUGCUAUUCAAUUUUGGAUACAUAUUUGUCUUUAUUAUUAUUCUAAAGGGGGGUGGCGAAGCUUAUCAAGUAAAGCUAAUUAUUGACAAAAUAAGUGAAAGUCUUUAGUCAUGACUAAAAAUAGUACCGAAUAAAGGUUUUGUAUGGUGUGAAAAUCUGAAUUUGCUUUAUCCUAGUUGAGAAAAUUAUAUGCUGUGACUUUUAUAAAUCUUUUGUUGGGGAAAACGAACUUGUACAAGUCGACAAUGAGAUAUUUCGGCACCGCUGAUUGAAUAUGGACAAGGGCUUGGCUGUGUGGAAAUUGACGCGGUUCAUCAAAAUCUUCACCGCACAAUGAGAAGAUUUUUCGUCCCCGAAUGCAUGCGAACAAUCAUCUGUAUCAUGAUCUUGAAAGUAUCCUUCGUGGCCAUCAACGAGUUUGACACAAAUUCCCAAAAGUAAAGGAACGAGUUUCGCAUUUUGUAUAUGGCGGCGAUUGCCGGAUUGGACUUUUGUUUGUGGGGCGGGUGACCGAUGCAGCAUGGCCCAUAUACGCUGUGCACUCCGCAAUGGUUCUUCGAGGGCAUUAAACUCUCAAUGUAGUCAAAGUUAAUAAAUUCGACUCGACAGAGGAUCAGAUCAAUAGGUCACUCGUUAGAUCAGUGAACCGCUGAUUGAACCGGUGAGUGGGUAGUAGUUUAAUAUUUAUAAAUAUAAAAUAAUAAUUUUAAUAUAUAUAUAAAAUAUUUAAUGAAGUGAUUUUAAAUACUAAUUAUCGUACUUAGAAAGAUAUAUAAUGAACAUAUAAAUAAUAAUAGAAAAUUUCAUUUCAUUUCAUCAUACUUUUACAUAAAUAAAUAAUAUAGUCAAAUAUAAAAUAAAAUUGUGUCACUUGUUUCCAAAGAUAUAGUAUCAUUUUUUAUUAUUUUAUUUUUAUUUAAAAUAAAAUAAAUUUUCAACUACUCAAAUAUUGUCAGUUUUAAAGUUAAAAUGAUUAAUUAUAUAAUAAAAAAGUAAACAAUUUUAUUUUAAAAAAUUUAAUUAUCAAAUAAAAACUAAACAAGUGGUAAAAUCUUAUGCAUAUUUAGAUGAAUAUCCAAUAUACAAAUAUUGUCAAAAGUAUAUAUAUAUAUAAUUUCAAAAACAAAGACCAAAAAUUUUUUUUUUAAGAAAACAUAGUAUGAGUAAACUAAAAAAUUGGACGAGUUUCUGAUUGAACCAGCAGGUUAAAUAAGUUUGAUUGUGUCAACACUUCAUCCGAUCAAACUAGAGAUUGGGCCCGACUUGAGAUCCGGACCACCUGGCCAAUCGGUUCCAUUGUCGUACCGGGCUGGAUUAUGUAUUUAGAAAACAAGUCAAUAUACAAUGUAUGUACUGAUUUGCACUCGAUGUAUUGAACCGUAAUGUCCACAUUCGAUGCAUUUGGUCCCAGCAGCAGGCUCCCUAUAUAACUCGCAGAUUGCACAAAUAUAGCAUUAUAGCCCGUGAAAUUUGGCAAAAUGGAAGAGAGUAGUGUGAUUCUGCUAGAUUUAUGGGUUAGCAUUUACGCGACGAGGGCAAGAAUUGCAUUGGCCGAGAAGGGGAUCAAGUACCAAGCUCAGGAAGAAGACUUCGUUUAUAAGCAGAAAAGUAGCCUGCUUCUAGAGAUGAAUCCGCUUCACAAAACCGUCCCAGUUCUGAUUCACAACGGCAAGCCCAUUUGUGAAUCCCUCAACAUUGUUGAGUACAUUGAUGAAGUGUGGAAUCACAAACCUCCAUUGCUCCCCGCCGAUCCUUACCAAAGAUCCCAAGCCAGAUUCUGGGCUGAUUACAUUGAUAAGAAGGUUACUAUUACAUCCUCUCAACUUUUUGUUCUUUUUAAUUGCUGUUCCCUUGUUCUAAUCAGGUUAUAUCCCAAUCUAUAUUAUGCUGCCUAUAUGGGUUCUCCGGUGGUCUCCUGUUUACAUAUCCCUGCUAAUAAUAAUAAUGUUUGGACGGUUCAAAAAAUCUAGGAAUGAACAAGCACUGAUAAUUGCUCUUAGCUUUUCUCCUAAGGAAUUUCGUAAUAUAAUUUUCGAGAAUCGCCUGAACUCCUGGUAAACUUUAGAACAAAUAUAUUGACUAUAAUUCUGGGGCUUGGAAUGUAGGUAUCUUCAAGGAAUAUAUGGGGGAACAAGGGGGAGGAGCGGGAGAAAGCGAAGACGGAAUUUAUAGAAGCUUUGAAGAUUUUGCAGGGAGUGUUGGGAGACAAGACUUACUUCGGUGGUGAUUCAUUCGGCUUUGUGGAUAUAGCUCUUUUACCCUUUUCUAUCUGGUUUUAUACCUUGGAGAAUGUUGCCAACUUCAGCGUGGAGGCUGAGACUCCACAGCUUGUCGAAUGGGUCAAGAGAUGCAGGGAAAGGGAAAGUGUCUCCAGCUCUCUCCCUGACCCUAAAAAGGUCUAUGACUUCAUGUUGCCAAUGAUGCAGAGAAUGGGUCUAGCAUAGCCGGAUUGGAUGGAUACUUUACGAGGAUUGAGGAAUAAAAGGGAGGUUAAUGCAGCUGAUGCAAUUUCCAUUUCAAAUGCAAUGUAACUUUUUUUCUUUUUUCUUUUUUCUUUUUUGGGGGUUUCUGUUGGAGUAUGUAAUGUUUGCUUAUAUGGUGGCAAUAAAAAUAUGAUUUGGCCUUGGAGAUUGCUUUGAGCCGUGAUUAAUAUUGAACGUGCUUUUUAGUUUAGACUCACCUCAGCAGAGGAUAUCAUUACUCUUUUAUCUUCCUUAUCAUUUGAUAAUGGGUUGGAUGGAUUAGAAAUGCAGUCAUUACCCUAAAAUAGGCUGGAUUUAUGAAUGAAGAAUAGCAGGAAAAGUACUUGGCUCUCUGCCUUCCCCUGUUCUAGAGACUUUUUGGACCAACGAUCCAUCACUCGAAUUUGGGGGCAGGAACGAUAUUAUUUGAUUUUUGAAAAAUUUACUACCUUGAUUGGCCAAUAUAUAUAUAUAUAUAUAUAUAUAUAGCUCAAAUUAUAAGAUGUGCUUCAAAUUUAACAUGCAUGGGACUAACCCAAAAAAAAAAAACCAAGUUUGCAUUAUAUUAAAACUGAUUUACCUCUUGAACAAAAUGAAUGAUUACAUUUUAUUGAAAUGCACAAAAUCAUUUUACUCUGCCCCGCUCUCCACUGCUAAUAAUUUUGAUGCUCUAGCUUGCAAUUGUGGGUCUUCUAGCUUCAUGGGCUUCGUCAGUCUAUAUUGGACUUCAACUUAGAAUUUGGACCCGCUUUGAAGUUAGCUUCGACAUUGGUCGCAAUUUUUUUUUAAGGCGUAUGGGUCCAUUUGGUAGAAACCAGGAUGAUUGUGUUAUUCUUAGUACUAAAUAGGGGCGGUUUGGUAAAUAAAUGUAACCCUAGCAUUCUGCUCCAAAUCUUGGCUAUAAAUAAUUCGGGCUGGAAGUGAAAGACGGGCAGCUGCGAAUUUCUUCAAGUCGUCUUCUACUGUUGUUAGCUACAAUCUUUUCAAGUGGCGCUUCAAUUUCUUGUUCUGCUGAAAUUUUUCUGGACAACGGGAACUACUGUUUUCUUUAAUUUUCUAUUCUUUUUUUUUUUUUGAAUUAUUGGCUGGAAAUCUUUGUGCUUGUACUAUGAACGUGAAUUUUGACCAUUUUCUAAAAAAGAUUUAGAACUGAUUAGACGGGAUCCGAUCUGUGUACAAUAAGCCGAUGCUCUGGAUAAAAUAGAAUGAAGGAAGCAUGGUAGUGUGCACAGAGAAUGAAAGGGUCGUCAUGUCUGCUCUCUCUGAUGCUUAAAUGAUUUGGGGGCCUGGAUUAGACCCACAUCUUCAAUUCUGUGACUUUGUUCAGUUCCUAUCUUAUGUUGAUGUUUUUGAAGAGGAAAAGAAAAUUGAAUCAAGUUCUACACCUGUGCUCAUUUUUUUUGUUUUAAAACUUUUUGGGUUUGUACAUUUUGUAAAAUGAGCAGCUUUUUAUCUGUACAGAGUUCUUUACCAACUACAACUACCUUUGGAGUAGGUAGUUGGGGGAAGCCUUUCAAGGAAGGCUCUCUGGUGGUGGUGCAGAUUAAGGGAUCGAAUCACUUGAUUUGUAUUUCACUAGCACCCAUUUGAUCCACCAUUAGAUAGUCCCUUCGGUUUUCUCUUGGUUCACUCUCUUUCUUUUUAGUAUAGAAUAGGAGUGGAUAUAAAAUAGAAAUUAUCGUGUCUCAAAAAAAAAAAAGAUUAAUGGGGUUUUAAAUGCGUCAUUAAUCAGGUUUUGGGGAAUAUCAGUUGAUAUUGAUCUAAUACGUAGGUUUGUAAGUUAUUUGAGAUAUUUUUACUGUAGUACUUUUUGUGAUGUGAUGUAUAUGAGAGUGAUGUAUAUGAGAUAAAAAGGUAAUUGAGAAUAUAAAAAGAUGUAUUAAAAAUUGUAAUGAUGAUGUAAGCAAAUAUAUUUGAGAAAAUAAGCAGCUGUCCAAACAAACUCUGCACUCUUUCCAAUUUGGAACGUUAGAUUGAUGAUCCAUCAGCUCAACUGAUAAAUCGUAUGAAUGAUAAAUCAUUACCAUAUAAUACUCGGAAUUGAACAAGUUGUUUGCACCGUACCCGGAAUGAUUAAAGCUUGCUGAACAUGCUGUGCGUGCGGGAUGAGGACUGGCGGAUGGUUUGAUCAAAAUUGGACACUUGAAUACUGAGUCAAAAGUCUCAGAAAAAGACUGGGCAGCUCUAAAGCUGUUGGUAUUGCUUGCACGGUGAAGUCGAGCAAAUCUGAGAUUAGAAGUGUUGAUUGAGCCAGUGGGUGGCGGAUGACUACACAACUAGCACAUUGGUAGAUGGCAGAUGGUGACAAUCAGGGACGGAGCCAGAAAUUUAUUUUUGGGGGGCUGAAGUGUAUUAAAAAUUUUUUUUGUGACGAAAUAAAUAUAUUUAAUAAGUAAAAUUUAGAAUCAAUAAUUAUAAAAAUAAUAAAAACAUAUAAUUAUACAUACCCAAAAAUUUGUUAUUGAUUAACACUUGAAGUAUUGGUAGUUGUUGCACUCGAAUAACGAAGAGGAGGCAAUUGCAUUCUGCGAGUCUUCAUCCGUUGAAAACGCUGCAAUAUUUGCUCAUUUUCAAUUGUUGCAAAAAUAUCCUUCUCGAUGUAUACAACCAGACAGUCAUUCAUCCACUCGUCUCCCAUUUUGUUGCGCAAAUCAGUCUUGACAAUAUUCAUUGCAGAAAAUACUCUUUCAACAGAAGCAGUCGCAACUGGUAGAACUAAUGCCAACUGGAUCAAACAAUAAACCAAUGGAAAAACUGUAUUUUUACCAGUUUUAACCAUUUGUUGAGCAAGACUUCCCAAAUCUCCAACUUCUGAAAAUUGAGGAUCGCGUUGCACAUUAUAAAUAUAAUUUCGAAGUUGAGACUCAAGAUAUAAAUAAUCGUUACUUGAGAAGUCUUCAGGAUAUAAAUCAGCAAGACGGAGUAGUUUCUGCACAUUUAAAAAAUUCAAUUACGUCCCAAUUUAUUGAUACAAUUUAAAAAAACUUUAAAUUUUUCGUCAAAUCCCUGAAUCUGAACGAAGCAGUAAAAAAUAAUUUAGUUUAAUGCCUGAAAUGGACAGGACUAGAAACAAGAGGUCUAUAACAAUUUCGGUUUCACGGGACGUGUACUAGAAUAGAAAUACAAAACAAGAAUAUAUUCAUUCCAUGUACUAUACUACUAUCUGUCCAUAUGCAAGCCUGUGGGCAACAUUCAAAAUUUGCGGGUCAGUGGGGUCACCAAAAUCAGAGCAACAGGAUCUGGAAUUCGUGGCUCAAGACAUCAUCACAUUCACCUCUAUGUUAAUUAUUAACUGACUCUACAUUCAAAAUUUACAGAAGAAUUGAUAAUUGUUUUUCUUUGUCUCCUUUUGUUUAUAUGUAGAACGUGAAUGUUUGUUACUAUACAGGGGGUUUUCCGGCGGCUUGGGGGGGCUUAAGCCCCCACCAGCCCCCCCUUAAAUCCGUGCCUGGUGACAAUAAUAGCCCUUUUUUCCUGCCGAAGGAGAAAGUGUGGCAGGAGAGAACUCGUUGAUCAUAUGAUUCCAUGCAAACUUGGAAGAGACCCCUAGUUAGCGUCAUGAGUCGAGAGUUUGGUACUGAGAAUGAUUUAGUACCGUCCGACAAGGACACAAUUAUGUUCCAUGAUAUUUGACGCGUGAAAUGAUAUAUCGGACCCAAAGGACGAAGGAGAAAAGAAAAAAAAAACCCAUAGAACGACCAAUACUUAAAUCCUAGACCUCGUCUCCCUGCAUCAUCAUCUUCUUCUUCCUUUUUAAAUUUUUAUUUUCAUUUUUUUUCGGGGUGAUAGUUGGGCUGGGGGCUGGGUGCUGGACAGCAAAUCUUUAGCCAUUUAGUUGAUGCAGUACAUGAAAGGGUAAAAAGUUCAGAAAGUUAAAACGUAAUGGGCUGUAGGCAUGCUGUUCUUUGACUUCGGUAAUGCUUAUAUCAGAUCCUGAUUGUACGACAGAUUUAUGGCAAAAACGUCUUUGCGAAUACAUAGAUUGUGAACGAAUGUCUACACAUUAAAAGAGUUUCAAAAUCACACACUGACAAUUUUAAUGUAAUUUGCAAUAAACCGAUUUUAUCACACAGUUACAAUCACGUCUAGAGGGAUCUUGGCUUCAAGGCAAUGGUGGAAUGCUUCAAAAUGUGCAAACUGAAUUGUCCACCUUUUUCUGCGGUAUCAAUCUUGGAUUGCCCUGGAGGAGGCAACAGCUCAAAAUUCUGCACC
rnacentral:lncRNA from 1 species